ACGGCUGUAAAUAGAGCAACACUGAAUGCGACUCAACCGGAAAAGAAAAUCGGCUUCAAAUCGUAACUCCGUCUUCCAACGAGCAGAAGAACGACGACUUGAUAGGGACACGCAAUUUAGGAAGAGAUCGGCUACCGGUGGGGACACGGCGUUGCAGAUCUGGACAACGGCGCGGAGACAAAGGUUGCGCGGUGCUGGGUAGAGGGUCACACGGCACUGGGCGGAGGGUCACGCGGUGCUGGGCAGAGGGUCACACGACGCUGGGCAGAAAACAGAGGAGAAAGGAGAGGGGAGACAGCCGGCGGUUACAGGUUCACGCGGCGGCCUUGGCUUCGACGGACGGAAGGGAAGAGAGGAGAUGAUCGGCGGCUGCGACAAAUAGAAGAAGAAAAAAGGAAAGAGGUGGGCGGCUGCUAGGGUGAACGAAGAAGAAGAAAGAGAUGGAGGACGCACGGGAGGAAGAAGGAAGGGAAAAAUUCUUUUUCUUUUCUUUUAUUUAUUUUAAAUAAUAAAAACUAAAAUAUAAAUAAAUAUAUAUAUAAUUAUAUUAUCACAUUUUCAAAUCUUCUUUCUCCCCCUUCAACAUAUUUUCUUAAAAAAAUAAAUCUUGUACAAAUCGAAAAAUUUUCUUAAAAUAAAUUACCUUCGAGUUUGGGGCGUUACACAAGGACUUGAACAUAGGACCUUUUGGACCACCUGCUCUGAUACCAUAUUAAACCCCAAAUUCACCCAAAAGCUUAAGCUAGUGGUUGAAGGUAAAUUUAAUUAUAUAUUACCAAAGUAUGAGGUUUCAUCACAAUACCAAUUGGCAAUGAGAGGAGUAGCUCAUCUAUUUUAUAAGGAGUCUAAGUUUCCUUGGUUUUUCAAUUGUGGGAACAUGCCCCUUCAAGAUGGUGCCUCUUUGGUUUCACCUAUCUUGAACCAAAUAUCCGUUUAGGCUUAAUGAGCUCUAAUACCAUAUUGAAAGCAAUAUAUACGAAACCAAAGCUUACGUGAAAACGCAAGAAUCGAAAGAAAAGCAUUGUGUUUGUAGAGGCACAAUUGGUUGUUUAAUAUAUAUCACUAACACUAUUGCUGCAAUGAUCGAUCAUCUCGAUGGAUUACCCAUUUAAGAGUUGUUGACAAGAGUUGACACUCUAGAAUCAAAAGUUGUAAGAACUAGAUGUUGUAAUUUAUGUCCUAAAACUCGUUGUAAUCAUAAUCUAUUCAAUUAAGUCGUUAUUGAUACUAUAAUCUUAAAGCCAAUAAACUAAGGACCCGAGGUUAUUAUUAAGUAAACUUGAACUUUAUGUAGAGACAUAAAAGUUGAUCAAGUUUAAGUAUAGAGCCUAAAUAGUAUAGAUUGUACGAAUACAGUUAGGCACCUUAUUCCAGGACACAAUGAAUGCAGUCUGCUUUGUAUUUAGUAUAAACGAUGUGAUCCUAAAUCCUAGAGACAUGAAAGUAUGGACAUCCUAUGUAAAGAGUUUACAAAAGAAUAGAACCAUGAAAUAGUCACUUUUAAGUUAUAACACCGUUAACUUUGAAAAACUUACUAUUUCAUUGAUAGAUAUCAAAUAUAACUUAAUCUUAAUACUGGGCUAACUAUAAGCUUUUGUUCUCACCAGCAUGCUUGUUUAAGGCGUUGUUUAUCUAUGGCCACAUGCCCAAAUACCCCCAAAUCACCUUUUCUUUAUGUCUUGUAUUUAGUUUAGUCUAUUGCUUUCCUUUUUAUGUCAUAGACCUAGGGUGUGAGGUGUCACACAUUUUCAUUUGCAAACCUGUCAAAGCUCAAAAAGUCUAAACUAUACUAUAGGAGAGACCCAAUAGUUGAAUCCCCAACCAUGUCUUAUCGUAUUCUUUAUAAUUAAAUUUUUAUUUGCAAUUGAAAGUCUUCAACGCAUUCUUUAAUGAUGUUUUUAAUGAUAUUCUCUCUCACAUUUUAUAAAACAAUUUUUUCAAGAACGAGAAGGGAGGUUAUAUCAUAUCGUGAGUUUGUUUGUGAUUUUCGGAUUUUACAUGCCUGACUUAUUGACUGAGCAAAACAAGUGUUCUACAAUUGUCCGUUCCAUGUUUGAAAGAUUGCGAUUGUUGUGGUACAGAGUGUCACAAGUGUGCUUGUCCAAGGCAUUAUUUGCCUAUGGUCGUAUGCUCGUAUAUCCUCAAACCACUUUAUCUUUAUGCUUUGUACUUAGUUUAGUCAACUGCUUUCCUUUUGUUGUCACCGACCUAAGGUGCGUCGUCGUUUGCAAUUUUCAUAUGCAAUGUUGUCAAUGCUAAAAAAGUUUAAGAUGUAUUGUAGGGGAGGCAUGGUAGUUGAAUCCCCAACUAAGCCCUAUUGUGAUUUUUGCAAAUCUAAGCUUUCUUUGUAAUUGACAAUAUUCAAUUUUUUCUUUAAGGAUGUUAUCAAUGUUUUUCUUUAUCUCUCACGUUUUAUAAAACCAAUUUCUCUCAAAAGAUGAAGCGAGGCUACAUCGUACCACAAGUUUGUCCGCAACUUUCAAAUUUCACAAGGUUGCCUUGUUCAUCAAUUUAGAACAAGUGUUGCACAAUCGCCCGUCCCGUAUUUGAAAAGUUGCAUUUUGUGACAAGUGGUAUUAAAGCUUUGUUAGCUCCUUGGCUAAGCGAGAUGCAAUUAUGUCAACAAUGAAACAACUAUCAAAGUUGCAACCGGAGCGACUGACUGAGAUUGAAGAGGAAUUCUUGGAUAUGAAAGAAUUGCCAAACGAAGUAAGAUUUCUCUAGACCCAACUUGAGAUGUUUAAAGAAAAAGUCAGAGAAAUAGACGCAUUGAAUGCCUAAAUAGACAAACUACCCAUAAAUGAAUUGGUGCUGAGGGUUGAUUCGUUAGAACAUAAAACCACCAAAGUAGGUAGUUUUGAACGUGGAAGUAGCUCUUCAAGUUCUAUUGCACAAAUGGAAGAGCGUGUCGAAGAUUUUGACUUUUGACAAGCUCCAACAUAAUCAGUUAUAUUUCAAGAAAGAGAAAAGUGUUUUUGCUAAAUAGCGUAUCAAUUUUCUAGGUCACAUCAUCGAAUGUAGAAAGAUUUGAAUGGACGAACAUAAGUUGUAAGCUAUUAAGGAGUGGAGAGCCCCCACUUCCGUGAAAGAGUUACGUUUCAUCCUUCAAUAUAUUCUAAAAUAGGGUUCACCUACUAUCCUCUAGACUCAGUACCGGGAGAAAGAAAUAGAUGGAAAAAGAAAUGGGCUUGGUAAUUUUUUUCUAUGUAAAUAAGAAAAAGAAAUCCAAUUUGGUACAAGAGCCCAAAUUCAAUAGCCAGCCCAUCAAAUGAGGUCAACGACCCUAUUUAUAAGGAUUUUCCAUGCAAAAUUGCAUGUCCAUGGAAUACUAAAGCCCAACAACUCAAAGCUCUAUUUCUAAUAUGAAAUUCGAUGGCUAUAACACAUAUACUUGUCAGUUUCUCUCUCUUCUCCCAAUUCGAACAAUUCGACUUAUUCCAUCACACUGUUUUAAGUUUAUUCCAUAUGAGCUAGCAAGGGAACCUAAUGGACCUAUAUAUCAUGGACUCCAAUGAUUCAAGAUUAAUUGACAAAAUUCUUAUAGACUGAGUUAAUCAACAUUCGUUAACUAACGGGUCAUUCAUGUAUGUACUGGAACGAUUCAGAAUCACCUCGUUUGUACUAACUACAAAGCGGGCGGCAUCCACAAUUUCUCUGAAAAAAUCUGGGUUACUACAACGUCACCACGAUGUACAAUUUUCCUGAUAAGAUGGUACUUACGUUCGAUAUGUUUUCCCCAUUUACGGCUUUUAGGUUCUCUUGAAUUUGCAACUGCACCACUGUUGUGACAGUAUAAAGUGAUUGAUAGAUGCAUAUUUGGAACGACUUUCAGAUCUGUCAAGAAUUUUCUUAGCCAUAAUGCUUCUGUUGUUGCUUCAAAAGUUGCUACGUAUUCUCCCUCCAUUGUGGAAUCAACUAUACAAGUUUGUUUUAUGCUUCUCCAAACUACUACUCUUCUAUUUAGAGUGAAUACUAAUCCUGAUGUAGACUUUCUAGCAUCUUUAUCAGUUUGAAAAUCAUAAUGAGUGUAUCCAGUAAGGAUCAAAUCUUUUGUACCAUACACGAGAAUGUAGUGUUUUGUUCUUCAAAGAUAUUUUAGAACAUUCUUAACGGUUGUCUAGUGAUCACGUCCAAGAUUGGACUGAUACCUACUGACCAUCCCUACUAAGUAGCAAAUGUCAGAUCUAGUACACAACAUUGCAUAUAUCAAACUUCCAACAGCGGAAGCAUAGGAAAUUUUUCUCAUAUCCUCAAUUUCUUGAGGUGUCUUAGGACAUUGUUCCUUUGACAAAUGAAUUCCGUAGAUGUAUAAUAGCAUACCCUUUUUGGAAUUCUACAUUUUAUAUCUAGACAACAUUUUGUCUAUAUAAGAUGCUUGAGACAUGGCUAGUGUUUUGUUCUUGCAGUUCUGUACAAUUUGGAUCUUAAGAACGUAUUGUGCAUUUCCCAGAACUUUCAUUUGAAAUUGCAUAGCUAGCCAUUUCUUGAUAUUAGUAUGAAAUCCUAUGUCCUUUUCCAAUAAGUAGAAUAUCAUCUACAUACAAGACUAAGAAUACUACAAUGGAAUUGACGACCUUUUUUGUAAACAUAAGGUUCGUCAACCUUUUGUAUCAAAGCCAUAAGAUUUGAUCAUAGUAUCAAAUCUUAUAUUCCAGGAUCUAGAUGUUUGUUUUAAUCCAUAAAUGGAUUUUUGAAUCUUACAAACCUUUUGUUCUUGAUCUUGAUCUAUAAACCCCUAUAAUUGAGUAAUAUAGAUACUCUCUUCAAGAUUGUCAUUAAAAAAAAAGUUGUCUUGACAUCCAUCUGCCAAAUUUCAUAAUCAUAAAACGUGGCGAUGCAUAAGACUAUUCUAAUUGACUUUAGCAUGGCAACGAUAGAGAAAGUUUCUUCAUAGUCUAUGUUAGAAAGAGACAUGCGCAGUGGAAAAAUGGAAUACAAAAUUCCCCUAAUUGCACCUAUUUAACUUGCAACCCUAAAUUAAAAGAAUUAGGGUUUAGGAAAUAUUAUACCUUUGUAUCUAUUCGAAUAUGAACGUCUAUACCUCUCACAAAAUUCCAAAAGUUUUUGAAACCAAAAUGUAACACCUUAAACUUAGGAUUUGGAAUUCGUAUCUCCAGCAUUCUCUGCAUCCCCUGCCACCUGGCAGCAUCAUCCUUACUAUUCUUAAAAACUUAUUAGAAUGAAAUUCCUCUUCACAAAACAACACGAAAUCUUUCAGCAUGCUUUUCCUCACUCACAUGCAUCCUAGGAAAAUUUCCAAGAGGUCACCCAACAUAGAAUUUCUUCAAGCUAAGCACGCUUAACUUUGAAGUCCCUAUAAUCGAGCCACCGAAAAAAAAAGGUUCACAUUGUUGGUAUAGGUAUUAAGUUUUAAUUCUUUUCAGUCUUUCUUAACAUGACUUUCAUGUCCUCAAGGUGCACCUUGUCGGUAUACUUGUCGAUUUCUCUCUCUUCUCUCAAUUCGGACAAUUCGACUUAUUCCAUCACAGUGUUCUAAGUUUAUUCCAUAUGAACUAGCAGGGAAACCUAAUGGACUUAUAUAUCAUGGGCUCCAUGAUCAAUAAGUUAAUCCUUCACAUGUUAUUCGUAACCUCGAAUGGAUCAAAUUACUGUUUUAUCCUUGAGACUACAUCUUAUUUCUUAAGUCUCAUUGAUCCACUAUUGAACAAUUGGUUUAAGGUCCAACCUAUAAACUUAAUCCCUCUCGGGCUAAUGUGAGGGUGGGGCCCCUUGUUCAAGACUUGGAUUAGUGCUUAAGAGAACAACCUAUCUACUAACCCUAAAACAGGUAGAAGUGAAUUUUUUCUUGCAUCCUAUGUUCCCAGCCAUUCAUCUGAUCUUACCCUUGAAAUAGGAGGCUUAUUGGGAGAACGUUGAUGAGAUACCCUCACCUAUGCAGAUGUAACCCUAAAACAAGUAGAAGUGAAUUCAGUCUUAUGUAAGUACUUUAUAGUGUUUAAGAGAACAACCUAUCUACUAACCCUAAAACAGGUAGAAGUGAAUUUUUUCUUGCAUCCUAUGUUCCCAGCCAUUCAUCUGAUCUUACCCUUGAAAUAGGAGGCUUAUUGGGAGAACGUUGAUGAGAUACCCUCACCUAUGCAGAUGUAACCCUAAAACAAGUAGAAGUGAAUUCAGUCUUAUGUAAGUACUUUAUAGUGUUUAAGAGAACAACCUAUCUACUAACCCUAAAACAGGUAGAAGUGAAUUAUGUCUUGCAUCCUAUGUUCCCAGCCAUUCAUCCGAUCUUACCCUUGAAAUGAGAGGCUUAUUGGGAGAACGUUGAUGAGAUACCCUCACCUAUGCAAAUGUAAGGAUAAUCUCAUGUGAACAGGAGUUCAUAGUUAGCUUAGGAUUAAGAUUAAGCUACCUAAGUCAUCAAUAAACGAAAUAGUCAGUUCUAAACAGUAAACGGUGUUUAACGUAAAAGUGACUAUUUCAUGGAUCAGUCUUAUGUAAGUACUUUACAUAGGAUGCCCCCACUUUCAUGUCUCUACAUGAACAAUUUAGGAUCACCUCGUUUGUACUAAUUACAAAGCGGGUCACAUCUGUAGUUUCUCUAAAUAAGGCACUAUAGACUAUUGAGGCUAUAUACUCGAACUUGAUCCACAUUUAUGUCUCGACAUAAAGUUCAAAUGUAUUAAAAAAUAGCAUCAAGACUUAGUUUAUUGGAUUUAAGAUUAUAAUUUUUAAUUUUUCAAUAAUGAUUUUAUUGAACUGAAUAUGAUAACAAACUACGAGUUUUAGGACAUAAAAUCCCAACAUAUGUAUUUUUGCCUCUAAUAAUAAUGUUGAAAGAUGUUUAUUGAUGUUGUCUCUUUGAUUUGGAGUCGCCAUGUAGGAGUUUCUCUGAUUGUGAGUUUCGUAAGAAAUUUACAUAACCACAAGCCUACCCUCCAUAUACAGUUUGGUAAGCACAUUCAGAGCCUAAGUGAGGAGGUUCGUAUUGCUAAAGAGUCCAUGGAUAAAGCUCAGAGAAAGGUUGGGCAAAAUCCUAUGUCUGAUGUUUUGAGUCGCCAAGCAGGUCUUGCCAUUGAGGCCUUUUGGACGGCUGUUAAAUUGGAGGAAGCCUUCAUGUGUUAGAAGUCCAAGAGGUUUGUGAGUUUCCUUAGAACUUGUGUUACCUCCUCGAUGUUCUCCAUUAUGAUUAAUGGCUCUUUCAAGGGUUUUUUAAUGGGAAGAAAGGUUUGCGGUAGGGUGAUCCUUUAUCUCCUUUCCUUUUUAUCAUGGUGAUGGAGGUCCUCUCUCGUAUGUUAAAUCGGCCUCCUCCGAGCUAUCAGUUUCACAGGCAUUGUGAGAAGGUUAGCUUAACUCAUCUGACCUUUGCUAAUGAUCUUAUGAUUUUUUGUGCUAUGAUGAUUCCUCUUUGAGUUUUAUUAACGAGACUAUUCGAAAGUUUGGUGAUCUCUCGGGGCUAUUUACUAAUCUUAGUAAAAUUUCUAUGUUUGUUGUAGGGGUUAAUAGUGAUGAUGUUUAUCGUUUGACUACCAGUUUGGGUUUUGUCCUCAGGCAUCUCCCUGUUCGUUAUCUUGGGCUUCCUUUACUUUCUGGAAGGUUACGACCUACUGAUUGUGCUCUCUUAUUCAACGUAUUACUAGUCAGAUUCAUUCUUGGUUUGCUAGAGUUUUAUCAUUUGCAGGUAGAUUGCAACUGGUUCAAUAUGUGCUUGAUAAUCUUCAGGUUUACUAGGCUAACGUGUUUGUGCUGCCUGUGAGUGUGCAUCAUGAGGUUGAUAAAAUCUUGAGGUCUUAUCUUUGGAGGGUAAGGAGGAAGGUAGAGGAGGUGUUAAGGUGGCGUGGGCUGAGGUGUGUUCCUUUUGAGGAGGGUGGUCUUGCUAUUCUUGAUGGGUCUUCUUAGAAUGUUGUGAGUACUAUGAAGAAUCUUUGGUUGUUGCUGACUAGUUCGAGUUUUCUAUGGGUUCCUUGGGUGGAGGCUUAUAUUCAUAAAGGAAGGUCAUUGUGGGAGGUCGAUUCUUGUGUUGGUCGGUCUUGGUGUCUUUGCGUUAUCAUGUGGAAACGAGAUAGUCUAAAAGAGCAUGUUCAGAUGGAGGUUGGGGAUGGUAGGCAUUGUAAACUGUGCCUGGAUCCGUGGUUGCAGGGUGGUCCUAUCCUUCAACAAGUUGGUGAGAGAGCGCUUUAUAAUGUAACGAGUAGAUAGGAGGCUAGGCUCUCUAAGUUUAUUGGUUCGAAAGGGGAGUGGAGGUGGUCGAGGGUGUCUUUGGAUUUGAUUAAUUUAUGGGAUAGGGUUCAAGUUGUAAGUUCGUGUCCUAAUGUUGGUGAUAGGUGGGUUUGGGUUCUUGGUCGUCAUAGUGGUUUUUUGAUUGCUAGUGCAUGGGAUACUAUUCAUCCUCGUAGUGUUAAGGUUCGUUGGACAGGUUUCUUGUGGGGUGGGAUUGAGAGUCUCGUUAUCAUUUGUUUUUUCAUGUCCUUUUGGGUGUGAUAUUUAGUCUCGGGUCCUUCAGGUUAUGGCUUCCUCUCACAGGAUUGGGUAUUGGAGGGUUGAGUUGUUUGGGGUUUGUCAUUAGAGUAUUGGUAAGGGUGUGAGAAGGAAGUUGUGGUAUGUUCUCUGGUGUGCUACGAUUUAUUUUAUGUGAAAGGAGCAUAAUCAUUGUCUCCAUGGUGGUCAAGCUCGUGAGCUCAUUGUUCUGUUUCAGCUUAUUCCAUCUUGUAUCAGUGCUCGUGUUGUUUAUUUGCGUGAGGAUGCUCAUGGUAUUAUUUAGCUUGUUUUCUUUUGAUUUUUGUUUUAUCUGCUUGUUCUCGGGCUGUGGGGUUGUUUGGACUUUUUAUGUUUUUGUUGCUCUUAAUUUUGUUGGGUUUAUUAUUGUUCUUUCUUUUGAUACUUUGGAUUCUUCCUAUUUUUGUGAGCAUUGUCCGCUCUUGUGAGGUCAUCCUUGUUGUAUUAUGAUAUUAACUUUUCAAAAAAAAAAGAAAGAUAAUGCAAUUCAACUUUAGAUAAAAACAUGAUUCGAAUUUUCAUUUCAAGAAAAUACAAGGGGACAGAACUUUUCUUUCACUAUUUCAAUUACUAGAAUCUAAAUUUCAAUUCUCACUUUUUUGUAUUUUGAAUUUACAAGCCUCUUUUUUCUUUCUUUGGUAUGAAAGGUGGCAACUAGGCCUUGCUAGAACGAGUGGGGUAACCUUUCUAUGGUUCUACACUUAGUUUCGAAGUUCGAAGUUUUCCUCCUACAGUGGAUCAUCGCUAUUGAUUUUUCUACUGUUAAUUCGACCUCCCACGAAUUCUCUUCUUCUAAGGAUUCACUUUUCUUUAAGGCUCUGCACUCUACUAAAAAGCCUUGAUCUUCUUCCCCCCAAUGUUUUCAUAAACUUCUUAAGACAGACCCUGACCUUGGUUAGGCUCGGAUCUCCUUGGAUUAUCACCUUCUUCCCCUAAUAUAUCAAUGUUAACAUCAUAUUCUUCCAAUCCACUCCAGUCGUUCCCAAGGAAUACAAUCACUGCAUUCCAAGUAUGGCAACUACCCCUCCCAACUUCAAGGGUAAAAACUCAUUCACUACCUUCUAGUCUCCCAGCAUUAACUCAACAUCUUCACAAAUUACCUUCCCUUUGACUACAGUGCCCGAGCCCAAAAUGACUCCAUAAUUCGACGUUUCUCUUGUACUCAGUUGCAACUCUUUCACUAUUUUUUUUAAAUGAAAUUGCGUGUGACUCCACAAUCAAUUAGUACUAUAGCCACCUUCCCUUGUAUCAUCUCUUUUACCUUCAUUUUCCCUAGGUUGGAUAAUCCCACCACAUAAUUAAUGGAUAAUUCCACCAUCACUUGACUCUCCUCUACGAUCUCAGGGGCAUUCAAUUCUUUCUGAUCAAUUCCUCCUUCUUCAAUAAUUUCAUACUCCUCGCCUUCUUCCUUGACAACAAUCAUUCGCAAUUCCCUUUGCUCUUUCAUCUUGCAUUUGUGGUCAUGAGAAUAUUUCUCAUUACAACGAAAGCACAAUCCCUUCUUUCUAGAUUGAAAUUCAGCAUCAAAUAAGCGCUUCGUCUGUCCCUUUUUCCGUACUUCCUCUUUUGUUGUUCCUCGUAGAGUAAUAGUUCUCAUCGGCCAAUUCAUUCUCCUUUACUUUCUUCUGUAUUCAAUGGUAUUAGCCUUGGUGCUAUUAUGGGAGUUUAUCACCUUUUCUCCAGAAUAUCCAGAAAGAUUUGCUUCCUGACGUAUAUCUUCCUUGUUCUCUACCUUUUGCGCGAUUCGUAUCAUUUGUGCUAAUCCCUUCGACUCACAUAAAUCCAUCUCGCGUAGAUCCAUAGUUUCAAUCCCGACAUAAAUGUCUCUUUUACCACCUUCUCUAAUAGGUCCGACAAAGGAGCUACCCACUUAUCGAAUAAAUUUUGAUAUUCCUCUAUCGUUGUCUUUUGUUGAAUUUGCAAGAACCUUACAUACAGCGAUUCCUCCCUAACGGAUCGAAAUCGCACCAAUAAUCUUUCCUUCAUAUUCACCCAAUCUACAAAGUUCUCUCGUUCUUCUUGAGAACGGUAAAAGUUCAAUGCUAGUCCCUUAAAACUAAUAGUGGAUACAGUCAUUUUCUCAAAUUCAGUAAGUUUAUGAAUGUGCAAAUACCUCUCUACGCGAAACAGCCAAGAAUCAGGAUCAUCUCCAUUGAAUAUCGACAUCUCCACCUUCUUAAACUUAUUGCAGUCACUAUUACUUUCAUCAUCUAUUUUCUUUCCUUCCUUCCUUGUUUCGUUCUCCCAUCUUGGUCACCCUUCGCCUUCGUCCACAUUCUUCGUCGAUGAAUUGUGCAUUGUUGUCGAUUCCAUAAUUCGUAACAUCAUCUGAUUCUACCUCUCCAUAUUUUUGGAUAGUUUGGCAACGUCUUUUCGAUCACCAGUAUCUUACUAAUCUCUUUCUUAAUGUCCUGUAUUUCCUGGUCAAACGUCUCCAUCUCUUCGAUUCGAGUCUGAAACCAUUUGCAUUCUUCUUGCCCAAGAUCAAUGCUCUAAUACCAAUUUGAUGGAAACCAGUCUUGGAAUAAAAUUGCUACUAUAUUAUUAAUGAUAGAAUAGGAAUGAAAUCCUAAUUACAAUAUGAAAUCCCUCUCCUGUUAUCCUCUCUCUCAAGGAAGAAUAGAAAUUCACUUUCUCAAACAAAACCUAACUUUCCCGCCCACGAUUACUUUUUAUUUAUACUAACAAUAAGGUAACUAACCCUUCCCUUUACUAACCCUCACAUGCUAUUCAUGUGCACGUGAUAUUUUUUUUUAAUUUCUUUAUCCCUCUUCUGCUGUACAGAUGUAAUAUAGGGGGUCUAUCAGAUUCCUCCUCUUUUCAAAGCCUCCAAUCAAACUCAAUGCUAAGUUUGACUGCUCCCUUCAGAGUGACGACCCUCAUUUUCCCCCUUCCGUGGUUUGGGGAGGAUUCCUCCUCUUUUUAAAGCCCUCAAUCAAACUUGAUGCUAUGUUUAGAACGCUAAGAAUAGGUGGUUUAGUUUUGGUUAGGCCAAAAGUGAAAUUUUCCCCCACAAGCACUAAUAGUUAGGGAACUCAACACAUUCUACUUGACUUAAUCGACUUGACUCUCUAAUUUUUAUGAGCUUUUUUCAAUGCAUAUUGCAUAUGUUUUUUUUAUAGUUGUUGAUUGUCUCACAUUUUUAUGGUUUGCAUUUACAAGCCCCUUUUUUCUUUCUUUGGUAUGAAAUAUGGUAAUAGGCCUUGCUAGAACCGGUGGGGUAAUCUCUCUAUGGUUCUACACUUAGUUUCAAAGUUUGAUUACUCCCUUCGAAGUGACAACAAGCCUCGUUUUCCCCUAUUGUGGAUCAGAGAGGAUUCCUCCUCUUUUCAAAGCCCACAAUCAAACUCAAUUAGAGUAAAAAGGAAAAAUUUUCAUCUCGGCGCGUGUACCUCACACGCAUCUCUCUAGGAUUUCCAAGUUCUCUCACUCGGCUGGUGAAGGAGGCGAACGGUUGGUGAGUGCUGCGGCCAGCAAGGGAUCAAAUUCGAAGGUAAUUCGUUCAAUUUUGGCAGAUUGAAUGUGAAAACUAAUGUCAUUUGGUAUCCAUUUCGAAAUUGAUUACAAUUGAUCAAUUGAACCAUUACGAAUGAUAUUCGUUUUGAUUCGGGAGAAUUAACGUCUGUCCAGAAAUUGUUUAAAUCGGUUUCCAAGCUGAAUUGAUUUGAACUAUCUUGAAAGUAUUGCGUGUGGUACAAAAUCGAUUUAUUGGCUAUCAGUUCUGGGUUUGGAGACUGUGAUUUAAUUCACUCUGCUCGCAUGAAUCUCCUCGGUUGAAUUUCAAUUCUUUUUUAGUUCAUUCAUGUUCCCAAAUUGGCCGAAAAGAUCAUCACGGGUGUUGGGUUGAUGUCUUAAGCAUGAAACAAUGAAGAAAUUAUCCAGUGACAUUGAGGAGGUGAAGAAACGCGUGAUGUCAAGCCUUCAACGCGUACAUGAUAUGGCGGCGAACGACCGAAGGGCGGCGACUGCAAAGGCUUGUGAGGAAGAAAUGGUCGGACAUGAGUGGACCCGAACCGGUUUACGUGAACCAUGAAACAUAUAGAAAUCGAAAUACAGGAAAUGGACCGAGCGGAGAUGGUCCCAUGAAGAUUGUUGGCCCAAAGGCGUGUGGACCGAUUGUUUCGAAUGAAAACUUGAUGAAGCCCAGUGAGCCGGUAAAGGGGUGAAGCCGAAUGGUGUGUUCACAUUUACGAAUGGAAUUGGUCAUGGAUCUCUGGUUGAUGGGCCAUCGUUGAAUGAUGGGCCGUCCAUCUCACACGAAAUUGGGAUCUCACAGAAGGAGUGCUUACCUGCUGGUGCUUCAUGUGUUCAGCAUGUUGGGCAAAUUGCAGCGGCCGAAGGAUAUGGACCUCGACUGGAUGCUAUUGCAAGUGCCCAAAGAUUGGGCCGGUUGAUGGGCAUUUGAAUGAUGGGCCAGCCAUUAGAGAACCGUUUGGUACUAAUUCCAAUGGUAGGCCGCCUGUUUCGAUUCGUGGGCAUGAGGUGCAGAAAUCUAAUAAUUCUAGAGGUGCAGGCAAAAAUUCAUGGGCUUCCUUAUUUGGCUCAACAAGAGGUUUCUCUAUGACCUAUACACCUCUGACUACCGUGGGAGAGAAAAUUGUGGUGACCCCGUUUGAAGAAGUUAUUAGUUAAGGAGUUAGAGUGUGGGAGAACUCCCUCGUCAGCCAAUUAAUUGAUGCAAAAUUGUUGUAUCUAGUCAUCUAUCGUCUUAUAGAGAAGAUUUGGGGUAGAAUUGAAAUGCCAACAAUUACUCUGAUGGAGAAUGGGCUCAUCUGCUUUCAAUUCAAACAUCUGAAGUCAAUACAGUGGAUCUUAUCCCGUGGCCCAUGGCACCUUGGAGGCAAACCUAUGCUCCUCCGCAAAUGGACUCCAGGUAUAGUUCCUGAAUCCUUCGUCUUUGAUUCAGUUCCUGUUUGGAUAAAGUUAGGGAGGAUUCCGUUGGAGCUAUGGACGGAUGCUGGUUUGGCUGUGGUAGCGAGUGCAAUAGGAAAACCUCUUUUAGUUGAUCUUGCUACUAAAGAGAGGCGUCGUCUUUCUUAUGCCCGUAUAUGUGUGGAAUUGAAUGUGGACAAUAUUAUGCCUGCCGAAGUAACAGUCAACCUUAGAGAGAGAGGAAUUUAUUGUAACUGUCACUUAUGAGUGGAAACCGAAAAAAUGUAACUUGUGUAGAUCUUUUGGACACUUGCAGAACACCUGCCCUAAGAAAAGAGGCAAUGAAGAUAGUAAAAAGGAAGCUGCAAGUAAAGAGGUUCCUGUUAAAGAGGUUGUUCCUACUAAAGAGGUGGUUCCAGAUUGUGGGGAGUAUGGAGAUGUUGUGUUGGAAUCCUUCCAACACAUGGAAGAAGGAGAAAUUAUUACCCAUAAACUUCCUGAAAAGGUGGAGGUGAAUCGGGAGGAAUUUACCCCAGUUGACAGGAAAAAUAGGGGAAUGAUCUCUAUUCGGGACAGAGGGAAAAGGGCAGAAGUGAGUAUCACUAACUCCUUUAAGAACCUCAUGGAGGUGGAUAAAGGAGAUAAAUGGCUUUUAUCUAUAGUGGAUGGCUCCCCUCCUCCCUUACGAGUAGAUGACUCUUUAUGGUCCUUUUGAGUACUACAGGUGAUGUAAUUCCUAUGGGAGAGGCGGCUCCCAUAUGACCUCAUGGUUAGUUGGUGUACGUGGAACGUGCGGGGCCUUAAGAGCCCUGUAAAGUGUAGAGCGGUGAAGGACCGGGUAUGGUCUUGGGUGAUUUUAACACCAUCAGACUCCACUCUGAAGCCUUUGGGGGUGCUCCGAACGUGGUGGAUAUGGAGGAGUUUGACAUGGCUAUUAAAGAGGCGAACCUUGUUGAACCCGCGGUCCAGGGGAACUGGUUUACUUGGACUAGUAAGAUACAUGGGUCGGGUUUGAUGAAGAGACUUGAUCGUAUCCUAGUGAAUGAUGAGGGGCUUAGUACAUGGCCUAACAUGAGGGUUAACGUCCUCCCGUGGGGUAUUUCUGAUCAUUCUCCCAUACUUGUCGAUCCUAGUAAUCAGCGAAGCCAACAAGUGGUCUCUUUUCGUUUCUUUAACCAUUGGGUUGAAGAAGCGUCCUUUAUGGAUGUUGUGUCCUCUACUUGGACCAAAGAUACUAGAGUUUCUCCAAUUGUGAAUAUUGUGAGGAACUUAAGAAAUCUCAAGUCGAUUCUUCGCAGACAUUUUGGUAGGCAUAUCCGGACCAUCAGUGAGGAUGUUCGUCUUCCAAUGAUACCAUGGACCGAGCUCAAAGAGAGAUGGAGACGAACUCUCUGUCGGAGGAGGCGAGUAAUCACGCGAGCUUAGCCACGGUAAACUUUUGGAAAGCGGUUAGAGUGGAGGAAGCCGCUAUGCGCCAGAAGUCGCAAAUCAGAUGGUUGAAGCUAGAUGACCAGAAUACUGCCUUUUUUCAUCGAUCUGUUCGAUCAAGGCAGAGCAGCAAUGCUUUGAGAUCAGUUAUUGACCCAGAUGGAAAUCGGUUGACUAACUAUGAUUAGGUGACUCGGGUGGUAGUGAAUUAUUUCAAAGAUAUAUGGGUUCUCAGAAUAUUAGCUAUAGAGAGCUCUCUACUAGUAUUGAGGAGAUUGUUCAGUUUAGAUGGACUGAGAAGUGUUGUCAGGCCCUCCAGUCGCCUAUUGGUAGGGAGGAAGUGAGACUUGUUCUGUUCUCCAUGGAUGGUGGAAAGGCUCCAGGCCCGAUGGGUAUUCAGUUGGCUUCUUCAAAGGAGCUUGGAGUGGUUGAAGAAGGUUCUCUGUGAUGUCGUCUUACACUUCUUUGAGACCAAUUACUUCCCUCAAGGGGUGAAUACGACUAUUACACUUAUUCCUAAAAGGAAUGGUGCUGAUCGAUUGGAGGAUUUCAGCCCUAUAUCUUGUUGCAGCGUUAUUUAUAAGUGCAUUUCAAGAAUAUUGGCAGAUAGGCUUCGUGUGUGGCUUCCUUCUUUUGUUAGUGGAAAUCAGCCAGCUUUCAUCCCUGGGAGGAGUAUUAUUGACAAUAUUCUUCUUUGUCAGGAGCUUGUAGGGGCAUACCAUUUGUACAGAGGUAAACCUCGGUGCACUAUGAAGGUUGACCUCCACAAAGCUUAUGAUUCUGUUAAUUGGGAUUUCCUCUUUGGCCUGCUGAUUGCCAUAGGUACGCCUUUAAGAUUUGUGAGUUGGGUUCGAGCGUGUGUGACCUCUCCGAUGUUCUCCAUUAUGAUUAAUGGAUCGUUGGAAGGUUUUUUCCAUGGGAGGAAAGGACUUAGACAAGGUGACCCUUUAUCCCGUUCUUAUUUGUGAUGGUCAUGGAGGUGCUUUCUCGCAUGUUGAACAACCCACCUCAGAAUUUUCAAUUCCACCAGUUUUGUGAGAAGGUCAGAUUAACUCAUCUUACUUUUGUAGAUGACCUGAUGAUCUUUUGUACUGCUGAUAAUCAUUCUAUGAGUUUCAGAAAGAGACUAUUAAGAGGUUUGGUGAGCUUUCGGGACUGUUUGCUAAUCUUCCUAAAAGCUCAAUUUUUCUUGUCAGGGUUAAUAGUUCGAAAGCUUCUCGGCUUGCUGCUAACAUGGGUUUUUCCUGAUAGAACUAAGUCAUGCACAGCGGAAAAAGAAUCGAAUUUCUACCCUAAUUGCCACAAUUAACAUGUAACCAUAAACUAAUCAAAUUAGGGUUUUAAGAAGUAUUACCUUUGAAGCUUUCAAAAGGUUUGAUGUUUCUUACCAAUUCUACCCGAGACCACCACUAGUACUCAACUGCUAUCCUCUAGACAAAGAACCGGGUUGUGGGACCCAAUUUUGGUGUAGAAAGUAGUGGAGAUAAAAUGAGAUUGGAAGCUUUUUUUUUUCUUUUGUUGAGAUUAUGAAAAUGAUAAAGAGGCAAAAUCCUUCAACAUUUGAAAACAUCUCUAUUUAUAGCCUAAUUACAUGCAAAAUGCAUGCAAUUCAAUUGCCAAAUCUCAACACCUAAUAUUCCACUAACAAUUAGUGGAACUUAGUGGGCUAGGUGUCUAUAUAUCAUAUAGCCACAUAUCCCACUAAGAGUUAGUGGGAUUAUCCAACAAAAUGUUGGAUUUUCCCACUAACUUAGUCCAAGGGUAAAAUGGUCAUUAGAUUUUUUAGUCAAAAGUCAAACUUUGACUUUUCUAAGUCAAAAGUCAAUAUUUUGACUUUUUACCAUUUUGUCCGUCUUGACUAAUUCCAACCUCCCGAGCAUGAAUCCGCAUUCAUUUUUCCAAAAUUCAAAUCACAUUUGAAUAUAAGGCCGGUCAAAGUUUGACUUUUCAAAGUCAAAAGUCAACAUUUUGACUUUUUACUAAUUUUGACCAAUUCCGAGCUUCUUAGUAUGAAUCCGCAUUCAUACUUAUAGUAUGUAAAACAUAAAGCUCUAUUUCUAAUUAGAAGACGACGAUUAUAUCACUGUAUAUAUGUCGGUUUUCCUUCCUUCUCCCUAUUCGAACAAUUCGAUUAUUUCAUCACACUGUUCUAAGUUUAAUCCAUAUGAGCUAGCAGAGGAACCUAAUGGACCUAUAGAUCAUGGGCUCCAACGAUUCAAGAUUAACUAGCUAAACUCUUUUAAACCGAGUUAAUCAACAUUCGUUAACUUAACGGGUCAUUCCACUAAAGUCCCGUAGUUGCACUCCCUCACUAUAGAUAUAUUUGUGUCAUUUGAUAAAACCAUAAUCAGUAAGUUAAUCCUUCACAGGUUGCUCGUAACCUUGGCUGGGUCAAAAUACCGUUUUACCCCCAAGAUUACAUCUUGCUCCUUAAGUCCCACUAAUCCACUAUUGAACAAUUGGUUUAAGGUUCAACCUAUAACUUAUCCCCUCUCGGGCAAUGAGAGGGUGGGGCCCCUUGUUCAAGACUUGGAUUCAGUGCUUAAGAGAGCAACCUAUUACUAACCCUAAAGCGGGUAGGAGUGAAUUCCAUCUUGUACCCUAUGUUCCCAGCUAUCCACCGAUCUUACCCCUGAAAUGGGAGCUUAUUGGGCCAACGCUGAUGAGCUGCCCUCACCUAUGCAGAUCUAAGGAUAAUCUCGUAUGAACAGGAGUUCAUAGUUAACUCAGGAUUAAGACUAAGUUACCUAGGUCAUCAAUAAUUGAGAUAGUCAGUUUUAAACAGUAAACGGUGUUAUAACGUAAAAAUGACUAAUUCAUGGUUCAGUCUUAUGUAAACAUUUUACAUAGGAUGCCCCCACUUUCAUGUCUCUACAUGAACGAUUAGGAUCACAUCGUUUGUACUACAAAGUGGGCCGCAUCCAUAGUCUCUCAAAAUAAGGCGCCCAACCUUUAUUUCAUAUACUAUAGACUAUUUAGGCUAUAUACUCGAACUUGAUCCACGUUUAUGUUUACACAUAAAGUUCAAGUUUAUUCAAAAAAAUAGCCUUGGAACUUUGAUUUAUUGGAUUUAAGAUUAUAAUAUUUAAUUUCUCAAUAACAACUUUAUUGAAUAGAAUAUGAUUUACAAACUACGAGUUUUAGGACAAAAAAUUCCAACAUUUCCAUCGGUCAUCUCCUUGUUCGUUAUCUUGGGCUUCCUCUCCUCUCUGGAAGAUUGUGGAGCUCUGAUUGUGAUCCCCUUAUUCAGCGUAUUACCAGUCGUAUUCGGUCUUGGUCUGCUAGAGUGUUAUCUUUUGUAGGUAGACUUCAGCUUGUUCGCUCAUUCCUUAGGAGCCUUUAGGUUUAUUGGGCUAGUGUGUUCAUGCUUCCUAUGAAAGUCCAGAGAGACGUUGAUAAGAUCUUGAGGGCUUUAUCUGUGGAGAGGUAAGAAGGAGGGAAGAGGUGUUGCUAAAGUUGCCUGGUGAGGUUUGUCUUCCUUUGAUGAAGGAGGUCUUGAUAUUUGCGAUGGAUCUUCUUGGAAUAUAGCAAGCACGUUGAAGAUAUUAUGGUUGCUACUUGUUAAAUCUGGUAGUUUGUGGGUUGCUUGGGUGGAAUCUUAUAUCCUUAAAGGGAGAUCGCUGUGGGAGAUCGAUGCUGGGGUGGGUCGAUCUUGGUGCUUUAGGGAAAUCUUACGUAAGCAGGAUAUCCUUAAAGCUCAUGUUAAGAUGGAGGUGGGCAAUGGAAGGAAGUAUAGAGUGUGGUUGGUUCCAUGGAUUCAGGGUGGGCCAAUUAUCCAGCAGCUUGGGGAGAGGGUGAUCUAUGAUGCGGGUAGUCGGUGGGAUGCGAGGCUGGUGGAUUUCAUGGGUCGGGAUGGUGAUUGGAGGUGGCCACUUGUUUAUUUGGAUUUGAUGGACAUUUGGGAUAGGGUUCAGGGAGUGAGGCCGAGUCCGAGUGUUGAGGAUAGGUGGGUUUGGGUGCCGGGGAGUCAUGAUAGUUUUUCGAUCACCAGUGCGUGGGAGACUAUUCGUCCUCAUAGUAGUAGGGUUGGCUAUUCGUCCUCCUUUUGUGCUUGGUUGGCCAUCAUGGAUAGGUUGGGUACUAGAGGUAGGUUAAGUCGGUGGGAUAGGCCGCUUCCUUUAUCGUGUUUGCUUUGUGGAGGGAACUAUGAGUCUCGUGAUCAUUUGUUUUUUUUCUUGUCAUUUUGGGUGGGAGAUUUGGUCGAGGAUCCUUUUGCUUAUGUCAUCUUCUCAUAGAACCGGUUAUUGGGGGGUUGAGUUAUCUUGGAUUUAUAAUCAGGGUAUUGGGAAGAGUGUGAGGAGAAAACUGUGGCGCUUCUCUAGUGCUACAAUUUUAUUUCAUUUGGCAGGAGCGAAAUCAUCGUCUUCAUGGAGGUGCUAUUCGGGAGCCUCUGGUUGUAUUCCAGCUCAUUCGGUCGUGUAUUAAAGCGCAUGCUGCUUCUUGGUCGGAUGGUGUUCAUGGUCUUAUUUAAUGUUCUUUUCGUUUGCUUGUCCGGGUUGUGGGGUUUCUCUUCUCUUUAUUAACUUUGUUGUCUUUCUCUCUUCUUCUUGUCCUUUUAAUGUUUGGAACACUAGUUGUUGGUUCUUUUGGUUUUAGUUAUUGUUCCCGAGAUGUGGGGUUGUUUUGGGUACUUAUGGGUUGUUUUGUCUAACUACUUGUUCUGUGAGUGUUGUUCGCCUCUUUUGUCUUGACCUCAGGCUGUGAGGUGCACAAUUGUUGUUGUAUAAUAUUAUCAUUACCUUUUCAAAAAAAAAAAAAAAAUCAAACUCAAUGCUAAGUUUGACUGCUCCUUCGAAGUGACAACAAGCCUCGUUUUCGCCCUACUGUGGAUCGUGGAGGAUUCCUCCUCUUUUCAAAGCCCUCAAUCAAACUUGACGUUAUGUUUAAAACACUAAAAAUAGAUGGUCUAGUUUUGGUUAGGCCAAAAGCGAUGUUUUCCCCCAAAAGCUCUAAUAGCUAGGGAACUCAACAUGUUCUACUUGACUAACCGACUUGACUCUGCAUUUGUUAUGAGCUUUUUUAAUGCAUAUUGCAUAUGUUUUUUUAUAAUUGUUGAUUGUCUCACUUUGUAUGGUAUGCCUUUACGAGCCUCUUUUCUUUCUUUGUUAUGAACUGCGGUGACUAGGCAUUGCUAGAACCGAUGGGGUAACAUUUCUAUGGUUCUACACUUAGUUCUAAGUGUGAUUGCUCACCUCUAAUUUUCAAAACACUUAAUUUCUAAGACAUAUCAAUGUUCACUAGAAAAAAUUGAAAAUUGUUGUAGUUAAGAUCAAAACUAAAUAGUUAUGAAAUAAGACAUAAAUUUGAUUUAACAACCUUCCCGUUGUACUUGGAUCCACUCUGGCUUUGUGCUGGAAAAUUGGUUUGGAGCUGAUCGUAACUUUCGGGCUUCUAUAACCUUAGAUACUCUUCAAAGCUAUAAGCUUUGGCUUCUGACGAAGAAUCUUCUACUAUUACAAUACAUAAGAAAAUUCUAUUUCACAAACCCUGUAAUAAUUGAGGCUGAUAGAAAUUAUUCUAUAACCCUACCGAUAGUUUCAUUCUUAACAUUCAUAGACACGAUGCAUGGCAGCUAUCCAAUUCUAUUUCAUGUUUCGAGAAUGCUCGGUUUAACAUAAUGUUAAUUUUUGUUUUCUAAUUUAAAAUAAUAACGCUGGCUUACUAAUCUUUUUUUUUUUUUUCAUUUGCAUUCUACUUUUUCUACUUAGCUUCUUUCCCUAGUGAAACAAAUAACACGGGUGAUAAUAAACUAAUCACUCACUUGUUUCAGCACCGAAAGCCCUUCUGUUCAUGAACUCUCAUUUCAUCGAGACUAAUUUCUCACUCAAACAUGUCUUGCAUUCUCUAGAAACGUCCUACAAACAAAAAGAAGAACAAAAACUACAAUAAGGUCUAUAAAAAGUUACAUAAGGAAAAUCUCAAAAACUGAUAUGUAAGUCAUAACAACCUUAAGUCCUCUUAUCGUGGGUUAAAAUGCCGUAAGGUUUUUCCAAGAGUCCGAGCAACUAGCAUGUAAAAAGUUAAGUCAACUAAAAUUUGCUAUAAAUUACUCGUAUUAACAUUAUCAUUGUUAGACUUGACAACUUCAAAUUUAUCAAUAUAAAAUAUCUUUAACAAAACGUACCUUGAGGUUCCUCCAACCUCAUAUAAAAAAGCAAAUAAUGCAAAAAAUUAACAAAUUUAUAGUGCAUAUUAUUAUAUCAAUUGAUCACAACAAAAUAAGAUCGAACAAAACCUAUGAGUAAUAUAGCCACCAAAUGAAUAACGAUGAAAACCGAAAACAAAACCGAGAAAAAAAAGGAAACAAUUCAUCAACAAAACAAAUUUAGGGGACUAAAAAAUGCUUACUUAUUACACACUUCAAAAUAUUAAGAAAAGUGGAGGGAAAAAACCAACCAAUAAUCAACAAAUAAACUUCAACACAAAUAGCCAUAAAUUUCUCUUUAAAGGUAUCACAAAUAAGUCCAUCAGUAAUAACAAAAUAAAAAGGGCAAUGUGCAAUUGAAUUCUGCAGUCGUAAAGCUAUGCUAAAGGCAAUAUGAAAUCAAACUUGAGCAAUAACAAGAAAAUUUGCAAAACAAAAAUUACUAGACAUCAUUAACUAAAGUACCACACAACAAUGAAUGUGUAACCUCCGCAAGAGCAAAACCCGAAUGGAGAAAACAUGAGAAAUAUAUAAAUAGAAGAAAACAUAAAACAAACAUGAAACACAUGGAAAUAUACAAAGGAUAAAUAAAAAGUACACAUUAUAAAGUGAUGAAGCACAAUAUAGGUAUCAACAGAACCAGAAUAAAUCUUACCCUAAUCUCGACUGUCGAGGAGUGUUAACCAACCGUCGGAAGGUUGUUUUAUUUUUAGAAAAAUUUAAUGUUGUCUGAAUUCUUUCCAAGCCACUAACCAGCCCUCCUUAAUCUAUGAUCGCGAUCAACUCCUCAACAUCUAAUUACAUUUAAAAGAGUGAUGCGAACAUUGUGUGAAAUCCCAAACCUUUGAUGGAUCCACCAUCACUCUCUUCUAUCCCCUUCAAAACCUCAUUAUUUUCAAGAGAGGCCUCAAAGCUUCUUCCAUUAACAUAAAAAGAAUGAAAGAGAAGGAAGAAAGGGAAAGUGGUUCAAAAGCUAUGGAAGAAAAAAGUAAAAGAAAAUGGUCUACUCAUUGGCACAUUCUACACAGAUGAUAAUGUUAAGGCCAGGCAAUGAGAGACAGAAAUGCUUUUGGAGCUUCUCCUCUACUUUCGAAGAUUUUAACAAACUAAAAUAUGCAAAUGUUACAAGAAAGAUCUUUGGAGAUUUGAAAUAAUCCAAAAUAAAGAAAAAGGAAAACCCCAAUAUAUACAAAUUUCAGAAUCUAAAACUUGAAAAGUGAAUCGAAUGAUGAGAUAUGUUGUACAAUCAAUUAUAGAGACAGUGAAAUUAAAACAAAAAUGAAACGUAUCAAGAAAAAAGAAUAGCAACUAGUAUUAUGACCUUUGUAUAUCUUCAAAAAUACAAACAUAAAAAUGAAUCAAGAGAUCUACCACACAAAUAAUGGUAUCAACACAAAUAAAGCAAUUGUUUUAGUAACAAUAUUUGAGUACAAUUAAACUAAGCAUGCUAUUGUCCUUGACAAAUUUACAUUCUUCUAAUCGAACAAAAUCUGACCUUUAAAUAGUGAUAGAAACUGAAGAUGAAAGCAAGUUUAGCUACAACUUCAGACCGUGAUAUAUAUGACUGUUGGAAUUUUUUGUCCUAAAACUCGUAGUUUGUAAAUCAUAUUCUAUUCAAUAAAGUUGUUAUUGAGAAAUUAAAAUAUUAAUAAUCUAAAUCCAAUAAAUCAAAGUUCCAAGGCUAUUUUUGAAAAAUAACUUGAACUUUAUGUGUAAACAUAAACGUGGAUCAAGUUCGAGUAUAUAGCCUAAAUAGUCUAUAGUAUAUGAAAUAAAGGUUGGGCGCCUUAUUUUGAGAGACUAUGGAUGCGGCCCACUUUGUAGUAAAACGAUGUGAUCCUAAUCGUUCAUGUAGAGACAUGAAAUGGGGGCAUCCUAUGUAAAAGUUUACAUAAGACUGAACCAUGAAUUAGUCAUUUUUACGUUAUAACACCGUUUACUGUUUAAAACUGACUAUCUCAAUUAUUGAUGACCUAGGUAACUUAGUCUUAAUCCUGAGUUAACUAUGACUCCUGUUCAUACGAAUUAUCCUUAGAUCUGCAAGGUGAGGGCAACUCAUCAGCGUUGGCCCAAUAAGCCUCCCAUUUCAGGGGUAAGAUCGGGUGAUAGCUGGGAACAUAGGGUACAAGAUGGAAUUCACUCCUACCCGCUUUAGGGUUAGUAGAUAGGUUGCUCUCUUAAGCACUGAAUCCAAGUCUUGAACAAGGGCCCCACCCUCUCAUUGGCCCGAGAGGGAUUAAGUUUAUAGGUUGAACCUUAAACCAAUUGUUCAAUAGUGGAUUAGUGGGACUUAAGGAGCAAGAUGUAAUCUUGGGGGUAAAACGGUAUUUUGACCCAGCCAAGGUUACGAGCAACCUGUGAAGGAUUAACUUACUGAUUAUGGUUUUAUCAAAUGGACACAAAUAUAUCUAUAGUGAGGGGAGUGCAACUACGGGACUUUAGUGGAAUGACCCGUUAGUUAACGAAUGUUGAUUAACUCGGUUUAAAAGAGUUUAGCUAGUUAAUCUUGAAUCGUUGGAGCCCAUGAUCUAUAGGUCCAUUAGGUUCCUCUGCUAGCUCAUAUGGAUUAAACUUAGAACAGUGUGAUGAAAUAAGUCGAAUUGUUCGAAUAGGGAGAAGAAAGGAAAACCGACAUAUACAGUGAUAUAAUCGUCGGUCUUCUAAUUAGAAAUAGAGCUUUAUGUUUACAUACUAUAAGUAUGAAUGCGGAUUCAUACUAAGAAGCUCGGAAUUGGUCAAAAAUAGUAAAAAGUCAAAAUGUUGACUUUUGACUUUGAAAAGUCAAACUUUGACCGGCCUUAUAUUCAAAUGUGAUUUGAAUUUUGGAAAAAUGAAUGCGGAUUCAUGCUCGGGAGGUUGGAAUUAGUCAAGACGGACAAAAUGGUAAAAAGUCAAAAUAUUGACUUUUGACUUAGAAAAGUCAAAGUUUGACUUUUGACUAGAAAAAUCUAAUGACCAUUUUACCCUUGGACUAAGUUAGUGGGAAAAUCCAACAUUUUGUUGGAUAAUCCCACUAACUCUUAGUGGGAUAUGUGGCUAUAUGAGAUAUAGACACCUAGCCCACUAAGUUCCACUAAUUGUUAGUGGAAUAUUAGGUGUUGAGAUUUGGCAAUUGAAUUGCAUGCAUUUUUGCAUGUAAUUAGGCUAUAAAUAGAGAUGUUUUCAAAUGUUGAAGGACUUUUGCCUCUUUUAUCAUUUUCAUAAUCUCAACAAAAGAAAAAAAAACUUCCAAUCUCAUUUUAUCUCCAUUACUUUCUACACCAAAAUUGGGUCCCACAACCCGGUUCUUUGUCUAGAGGAUAGCAGUUGAGUACUAGUGGUGGUCUCGGGUAGAAUUGGUAAGAAGACAUCAAACCUUUUGAAAGCUUCAAAGGUAAUACUUCUUAAAACCCUAAUUUGAUUAGUUUAUGGUUACAUGUUAAUUGUGGCAAUUAGGGUAGAAAUUCGAUUCUUUUUCCGCUGUGCAUGACUUAGUUCUAUCAUGUGGUAUCAGAGCAUGCUUCAUUUUUACCCAAUUGCAUGUGGUGGGUUCAUAUUUAUUAGAUAAAUUUUGGUUUGAACUAAAAUGGAUAUAUUAUGAUUUUGGCUCUAGAUUAAGUGUUUUUGUUCUAAUUAUUGUAAUUAGCCUUGUUAAUGGCUUAUUUUUAUUGUUGCAAAGUGUUUGUAAUUUUUAAAAAAAAUAAAAAAGUCAUUAGAGUUGAAGCUAGGCUGUAAUUGGUUCAACCGGGUGAGAGAAUUGAAAAAAAUGAAGAAAAGAAGGUCACAGACCCGAAAACCCGGUUUUGACCCGCUUCGCGACCCGCACGCGCCCGCAUGCCCGCGCGCCCUCCUGCGCCCGCGCGCCCUCCUGCGCCCGCGCGCCCUCUGCGCCGCGCGCGCCCUGUGCCGCGCGCGCCGCAUGCCCCCGCCGCUUGCGCCGCGCGCCUGCCUUCGCACGNNNNNNNNNNNNNNNNNNNNNNNNNNNNNNNNNNNNNNNNNNNNNNNNNNNNNNNNNNNNNNNNNNNNNNNNNNNNNNNNNNNNNNNNNNNNNNNNNNNNNNNNNNNNNNNNNNNNNNNNNNNNNNNNNNNNNNNNNNNNNNNNNNNNNNNNNNNNNNNNNNNNNNNNNNNNNNNNNNNNNNNNNNNNNNNNNNNNNNNNNNNNNNNNNNNNNNNNNNNNNNNNNNNNNNNNNNNNNNNNNNNNNNNNNNNNNNNNNNNNNNNNNNNNNNNNNNNNNNNNNNNNNNNNNNNNNNNNNNNNNNNNNNNNNNNNNNNNNNNNNNNNNNNNNNNNNNNNNNNNNNNNNNNNNNNNNNNNNNNNNNNNNNNNNNNNNNNNNNNNNNNNNNNNNNNNNNNNNNNNNNNNNNNNNNNNNNNNNNNNNNNNNNNNNNNNNNNNNNNNNNNNNNNNNNNNNNNNNNNNNNNNNNNNNNNNNNNNNNNNNNNNNNNNNNNNNNNNNNNNUCACGGAUGUAUGCGUCGACGGCUUUACGCAGGUGAAGACAGACGCGGUCGGAGAGUCGCGCGGCAGUGUAGAAAACGGAGAAAAGGAACGGGCGGCGGGUGGGCUUUGCUUCGACGGAGACAGAGAUUGCGCAACAGGUCUUCACGAACGGAGAGGAAAGGAAUGGGCACGGCGACGCAGAUCUGGACGAUUGCUGCAAGGUGACGCGUACGGCUUGCUUAACGAACCGAUCGACGAUUGCAGCGACGGAUCUGGGUUACGGCGAACUGCAAGGGUGAAGCACAUGCGGCGGCGAGGACCUAGACGGCUCGGCGAUGCAGAUCUGGACGACGAUUUGCUUUCCGAGGGAGGCACGACGGUUGUGAGCGAAGAGGCACGACGGUUGUGAGCGAAUGGGCGCGGCGGUUUCGAUCCGAAGGAGAAAAGGAAGACGACCGGAAAGAAGAAGAAGAAACGACCGGCAGCUUGUGUGGCUGACUGGGUGAACGGAGAAGAGAGGGAUGUGCGGCUGCUAGGGUACGAGAAGGAGAAAGGGAUGGAGGACGCACGGGAGGAAGAAGGAAGGAAAAUUUUCUUUUUUCUUUUCUUUUAUUUAAAUAAUAAAAAUAAAAAUAAAACUAAAAUAUAAAUAAAUAUAUAUAUAAUAAAAUUUCUUUUUCUUUUCUUUUAUUUAAACUAAAUAAUAAAACUAAAAAUAUAAAUAAAUAUAUAUAUAAUUAUAUUAUCACAUUUUCAAAUCUUCUUUCCGCCCUUCAACAUAUUUUCUUCAAAACAAUAAAUCUUGUACAAAUCGAAAAAAUCUCUUAAAAUAAAAUACCUUCGAGUUUGGGGCGUUACACCAACUCACACAUCAAGAGGUAAAAUGUCACAAAUGCCCUCGUUAUUGAUGUACAUUUGAUACACAUUAUACACGUCUGAUACACCUAAUACCUCUUGAUACAUUAAGUCCAUUUAUGAGUUAGUUUGAUUAGAUUAUGUCACAUAUACAUGUAUUACAAUUAAGGGACACUUGCGAAAAUGGCAAAAUAAGUUAUAAUAAUUAAGUCCAUAGAACACAUACUUUAUUAUUUGAGAAAAUGACAAAAACAAAGACCAACUCACACAUCAAGAGGUAAAAUGUCACAAAUGCCCUCGUUAUUGAUGUACAUUUGAUACACCUUAUACACGUCUGAUACACCUAAUACCCCUUGAUACACUUGAUACUUCUUACUGAUACACUUGAUACAUUUGAUAGAUACAAUUCAUGCACUCGGUACUCAUUGAUACACUCGAUACUUUUUGAUACACACUUGAAACAUCUUCAUACACAUAAUACUUCUCGUUCCACAUAAUAAUACUUCUCGUUACACUUGAUUCUUCUGAUACACUUGACCCUGAGACCUUAUAUUAAUACACUGAUACACCACUAAUAAACUUGUUAUACUUCAUUGGUACACUUAACAAAUUCGAUAUGUUUGAGUACAUGCACUACAAGAAAUUUACCGCUUUGUCGAUGACAAAUAUCGUCAGUAAAUCUUCAAAAACUAAUCAACUUUUCUUUUGCCAACGAAAUUAAGCUGUCAACACACACCGUUAGGUAGGUCUGUCGGAAGAUCCUAUAUCGAUGGCAAAAAAUAAACUGUCAGCAAAAAUAGGAACUAUCGAUGAAAUUGAACCAUCAGUGGGCGUGUGUGUGCGCUCGUGUGUGCGCAUGUCCACGUGUGCUUGGGUGUGUGUAUGCGCACAUACAUGUGUACGUGAGUAGGUGUGUGCGUGUUUGCGUGUGCAUUUGUGUGCGCGUGUGCAUGUGUGUGUUGUGUGUGUGUGCCUAUGUUCGUGUGUGUGUGCGUGUAUGGGUGCACGCGCGUGCAAGUGUAUGUAUGUGUGUGCGCGUGUGAUUGUGUGUGAAUAAGUUGAUAUUUUUUAAUGUUGAGUUUCUCCCAAUUUUAAAACAAUAAUUUAAUUAUCUUGAUAUUCAAGCCAUUAAUAUUAUUGUGAGAUAAAGAUAGUGAAUAAGUUGAUAUUUUUUAAUUUGAAAUUCAGUUAAAGUUAUUUUGAUACAAAAUCUAUUGCUGAGAUUAUCAUAUUCUGAAAAUAAUAAUUUGUUAUUUUGUUCAUUUUGGAAAUUCAAAUUUUAGGUUAUUUUGAAAUUCAAAUUCAAUUAGGUUAUUUUGAAAUUAGUAAGAUUAAAUAAAGUUGAAGUCUUGAAUCCAUUAGUUGAGUCCCGAGAUAUUAAGAAAAAAGUAUGAUAUGAGUUUAUGUAUCUUUUUCAGGUAAAAAAUAAUUAAAAGCUGAUAAAUGCAUAAUAUAAAUUAAUUACAAUAUAGAAACAAGAUAAUUUUAGUUGGAGAAUGUGAAUAUUUUGGUAUUUUAUAAAAUAUUAUGCACGUGCAAAAAAUGUUAUUUGCUAAAAUUAACAAAAAAAUAGUUUUGCCAUUUUUCAAAAUGACCCAUAAAAAUGUUGCUAUAUCUCUUAUGACAGAGUGUAUAUCUACUGGUUCAUAUUCGACAUGUUUGUUGCUAAUAGAAUUGGAUAAAAUCGCAUUAUAUUGAAAUAAUUACACGAAUGACACUUUUAAGCCAAUAUUGGUAGAAAUUAUAGUUUAAUUAAUGUUAUUAAGUCAAUGAACAUGGUUUAAAAGUCCUUCUAAACACAAUUAAUGUAGUUGUUUUUUAAUUUUAACUCAUUUAUACAUCUUUAUGCAUAUGUGCGUGUACGUGCGCGUGUAGGUAGGUGUGCGUAUGUGUAUGUGCGUGUGUUCGUGCGAGUGUCCGUGUGCAUGUGUGUGUGGGUGUGUGCAUGUUUGUAUGUGUUUGUGCGUGCGGUGUGUGCACGGGCUAUUGCGUGUGUGCUUGGGUGUGUGGGUGUGCUCGCGCGUGCGUGUUUGUGCGCGUGUGCGUAUGUGUUUACGUGUGUGCGUUUGUGCGUACGCGUGUGUGCGUUUGUGCAUGUGUGUGUGCUUGUGCAUGUGUGGAUAGAUGUGUGUGUGUGCAUGCGUCGCGUGUGCAUGUGUGUGUGCGUGCGUUCGUGCGUCUGUGGGUGUCUAUGUGUAGGUGUGCGUGUGCACGCGUGUGUGUAAGUGUGCAUGUGUACGUGUGUGCGCAGUGCUUCUAUGCUUGUGUGCGAACAAGUUAAUAUUUUUUAAUGUUGAGUUUCUUCCAAUUUUAAAAUAAUAAUUUAAUUAUCAUGAUAUUCAAGGCAUUAAUGUUAUUUUGAGAUAAAGAUAGUGAACAGGUUGAUAUUUUUUAAUUUUGAAAUUCAAUUAAGGUUAUUUUAAUACAAAAUCUAUCGUUGAGACUCUCAAAUUUCGAAAAUAAUAAUUUUGUUAUUUUGAAAUUCAAUUUUGUUAUUUGAAAUUCAAUUUUGUUAUUUUGAAAUUCAAAUUCAAUUAGGUUAUUUUGAAAUUAGUAUGAUUGAAUAAAGUUAUUAAUAUGUUGAAUUAAUUAGUUGAGUCUCGAGAUAUUAAGAAAAAUAUUAUGAUAUGAGUUAAUAUAUCUAUUUCAAGUAAAAGAUAAUUAAAAGCUGAUAAAUGCAUAACAUAAAUUAAUUACAAUGUAGAAACGAAAUAAUUACAGUUGAAGAAUGUUGAUAUUUUGGUAUUUUAUAAAAUACCAUGCACGUGCAAAAAAUGCUAGUUGCUAAAAUUCAAAGGAAAAAGUAGUUUUGUCAUUUUUCAAAAUGACCCCUAAAAACGUUGUUUAUGUCUCUUAUGACAAAGAGUGUAGAUCUACUGAUCCAUAUUCGAUUUGUUUUUUGUUGGUAAAAUUGGAUAAGACCGCAUUAUAUUGAAAUAAUUACACGAAUGACAGUUUUAAGCCAAUAUUGAUAGAAAUUAUAAUUAAUCAAUGUUAUUAAGUCAAAUGAACAUGGUUUAAAACUCUUUCUAAACAUAAUUAAUGUAUUUGUUUUUAACUUUAAUUAAUUUACACAUCCUUGUGCGUGUGUGCAUAUGUGCGCGUGCGUGUGCGUGUGUGGAUGGGUGUGUGUGCGUGUGUGUGCGUGUGUUGUGCACGUGUGCGCGUGUGCGUGUGCGAACAAAUUGAUAUUUGUUAAUGUAAAAUUUCUCCCAAUUUUAAAAUAAUAAUUCAAUUAUCUUGAUAUUCAAGUCAUUAAUGUUAUUUUGAGAUAAAAAUAGUGUACAAGUUGAUAUUUUUUAAUUUUGAAAUUCAAUUAAAGUUAUUUUGAUACAAAAUCUAUCGUUGAGAUUCUCAAAUUUCGAAAAAUAAUAAUUUUGUUAUUUUGAAAUUGAAAUUUAAUUAGGUUAUUUUGAAAUUAGUAAGAUUGAAUAAAAUUAAAAUCUUGAAUCAAUUAGUUGAGUCCGAGAUAUUAAGAAAAAAGGAUGUAUCUUUUUCAGGUAAAAAAUAAUUAAAAGCUAAUAAAUGCAUAACAUAAAUUAAUUACAACGUAGAAACGAAAUAAUUACUGUUUGAGAAGGUGAAUAUUUUGGUAUUUUAUAAAAUAUCAUGCACACGUGCAAAAAAUUCUAUUUGCUAAAAUUUAAAAGAAAAAGUAGUUUUGCCAUUUUUCAAAAUGACCCAUAAAAACGUUGCUAUAUCUCUUAUGACAAAGAGUGUGCAUCUACAUAUUCGACUUGUUUUUUGUUCGUAAAAUUGGAGAAAUUGAGGACACAACUCCAAUUCCUAGCAUGCUUUCUCCCUAAGACUAUGCUGGUCCUAGUCGGGAGUGGCAUUUACAUCCCAGAAAGACACACAUGUAUCACCUCGUGUUGGCACUUCCAUUGCAAUGCACAACUCUGACAUAUAUAGUGCCGACAUUUCCUUCCUUAAGCUUGAAAAAAGGUGAUUUGAUGUCCAUAAAAAAUUAACUGAGCAGAGUUAGAUAUUUUCUAAUAUGUAUCUCACGUAAUUUGAUGCUCAUUGAUACUGCAGUACUGUGUCAGGAACGUGUUGAUGUAAAAUCUUUCAGUUUUGAUGGAUCUUAUUACAAGCUUUCAACUCUUCUUAGCACGACUUCUGACAGAACAAAGGUUUGAUGUAUCUUUACACGAUCGCAUAUCACAUAUGAACGAUCGCAUAUCCCAUCUGAAAUAUCGAUCACCCUUGGUAAAACAACCGUUUAGAUAUUCUACACGAUUGUUUGCUUAAGGAUACACGAUCAUUUUGUAACUAUUUUUUUUAUUAUCCUUUUUUCUUUCUAUACUAGAACCAGAAUCAAUUGUUUGAUGAUAUUAACAACAUGUAUGAUGAUCUUCGUGAUGAUUCUAGUUAUCACAAUUCUUUAUUGAUUCACGUGCAACCCCAUCUCUUUCUCCUUCACUCUUCCUCUUCCCCGUGCCCACCGCCGCCUGCGUCCCUUAGCCAUUUUAUAUUACUCUUGGACGUCAGCGGCCACGCCGUCACGAUCCCCUUCGUCUCCGUUGAAGCCGAAGCACCGUUCGUCGUGAGUUCGAACUCUCGGCAUCGCGUCUCACCUCUGUUUUCCAGCCAAGUUGUGAUUCAUCGCGCGUAGCUCCUUCCACGUUCGCGCCACCACAUUCUGCUCCAGGUGACGGAGGAGCGUCACCGAUUGACCUAUCAUCUCACCGGCAUUGUUACUUAGUUGAAGCAGCCGCGACCAGACCUGAGCCCGUCACGUCUGUUGAAGUGCCGUCGCGCGGCUCUUCACCUUCCAGCCAUGGGUUGUAAGCUGAAGUUUGUUUUUCGUUUGUUGAUUAGAUCUGAUCUAUUACACGCGUCGAUUCCAGUUAUUCGAAGUUGUUGCCCCCAUUUUACUCUAAUUUUUGGGAUUUUUGUGGUAAGUUGUAUUGGUGAGUGUGGUGGUUUUACAUUGUAAUUAUCCUUGGGUUGUAGUUUUGGAUAAUUAGUUAAAUUGUUAAUUGAUUCUUGAAGUUAGCAUUUGAGUUCUUUGGAUUCACAACUAAAUUGUAGAUUUGUUGGAGUUCGAUUCGCCAAUACUUUGAUAAGCUAGAAUUUACAUUGAGGAAAUUAAAUGAAAGAAAGUAUUGUGAAAGUAAUUGAGUUCCAUAUUCUUAGUAUUAGGUUUCCUUCGUUCGAGAAAAUUUAAGUAACAUUAAAGUAAGGGGUUUCUAUUACUGGACUCUUUGAAAGUUUUGAAAUGUGUUGACUGUUUGGAUCUCUGGACUUAGUAUGGUUUACCAAAUAUGUAGAAGUAGAUAUGAUGACAAAUGUAUAUUAUGCCAGACUAGUAUAGAAGUAGAUACGAUGGAUAAUGUAUUUGUAAACUGAGAAAGGUGUUAUGUAUAUAUAUAUAUCUUGACUGUCUGGUGUGUUGUUAUGGUAUCAACUGAUUUUGUAAUAGAUUGAAUAGAUUGAACGUAAGUGUGUUAAGUUGGAUUGAUGAUAUGAUUGUAACGACCCAACUUUUCUAAGUAAGUCGAGGUCGUUAAUUUUUUUACAAAUAAAAGACUUUGAUUAAUAUAAAACAAAACGUAAGCUAAUUUAAAAACAUCUUUAAGUCAGGCCUGAAUUUCAAACAUUUAAGAAAACAUAAAAACAAUACUAUUUACAAUAAACGUUUGUAAGCAAACUUUCAAUUCAUCUUAAACCUCACAAGAACCCAUAAGCGGAAGCAAACAACAUAUUUCCUAUGGCAGUCACGCUUCCUUCCUGCCCUCGCUGGUUUGCCGCUUUUAUUACCUUUGCCUGAAAAUUAAACAUAAGAAGGGUGAGUAUUUAAAUACUCAGUAAGAGACCCUCUACUGGUCCCGUCAGGGGAAAAUAAAUUGUUAACGUUCUAUUGGGACACCCUGUACAGUCGCAGUCUUGUGAUCCCGUAGGAUACACAUCUCAGUCUAACGCCCGAGGGACGUACAUAUCAGUCUAGUGUUCUGCAAAAACAUAUAUCAGUCUAAUGCUCCGAAGGUGCACAAUAAAUUGGUGAUCCCGUGGGACACCUACAAGGUACACAUCCCAAUACAAUCUAACAAUUUUCCCCUCAUUCCAUUCAAUCCAUCUUUCAAUUACUUCAAAACACAAAGUUCUUUCUUUCAACGUCCUAACAGUCAACUUAUUUUACUUCAGUCAUAUGUCUGUCAAUAAUAUGCUAAUACAUCAGUCAAUCAAACUAUACAGUCAACACACCCUCAGUUCAUCAGCACACAGUCAUACUUUAACGUAACGUACACCCAAUCUAAACGAAAAUCACAAGUUCACAUCUGCAUCUCAUACAAACACAAUCUACAAUCUUCGUCCUGUCCACAUACACACACUUAUAUAUAUAUUCCAUGACAAUCAAAAUAUACAUUCGACGUCAAGUCUACUUCAAUUCAUAUGCAUUCAUAUAUAUUUUUAGUCAAUCCACAGUAUACAUUUAACACAUACAAUUCACAGUCAUAAGUGAGUCGAGUAGAAAAUCCCUUACCUCAAAGUUAGGGAAGCUCCUUAAUCAACUAACGUCCUCGAAACAAUCCUAAGCAUAACAAUACAAAAUUCAAUUACUUUCACAAUACAUAUGUCACUUACUUUCCUCAACGUAAGUUCCAACUCACCGAUAUAUUGGUGAACUGAACCUUCAACAAUUCACAAACGGGUUGUGAAUGUAAGGGAGCCUAACGUUACUCCCAACACCUCAACGCACGAAUGUCGAACUCGCAGCAAAAAUCCUAAGUGUGGGUUGGUCAGCGGUCGGCCAAAGGGAACGUGGCGGCUGGGCUUCACGGAUGGAGACGUCGCGAACAGACCGCGAAUCUGAAUGGUUACAGCAGACUGUUUUGGGUUUCAUGAUUGAACGACUUUUAUGUUCUUGAACUUUCUUUAUUUUAUUUGAAAUAGAGCCCGAAUAAAAACUCUUUAAUGUUUUAAAAGAUAUAUUUUUUUAAAUUAUAAAAGUCUAUGGUUAAAGACGAAUCUAGUCUUAAAGUAAUAACUUCAGCUUAAUUCGAAAAAUUAGGUUUACUCUAUUUUGCAGAAAAGAAAAUCAUCGAUUUUAUUUUGGUUAAGAAAAGCUGUUUUUCUUCUACAUAUUUAUAACUCUCUUUCUUUCAUUGAGUAGAGACGGGUAGGAGAAAACCAUAGGAUUUAUUAACUUAAAAAAUAUUAAAUUAAUAGAAGUUUCAAAUCAACUAACUAAUUAACCAUUAAUCAAUUAGUUAAUAAUUAAUUAAAUCAUAUUUAAUUAAUAUUUCAUUUAAAUCUUAUUGAAUGAAUAUCUCUCCAAUACCUUAUAGUUUUAUAUUAAUUUAAUUAAAUCAAAUUUAAUUAAAUAAUAUUAAACUAUAUUAAUUAAUUAUUAUAAUAACUAAAUUAAAUAUUUUAUAUUUAACUUAAGUUAAAUUUGAAUCAUAUUCAAUAUAACUUUAUCUCAUAAUAAUAUUAAUAUAAUAUUAAUAUAUUAAUAUAAUUUAUACAUAUAAAACUUUAUAUUAAUAUAUAAUAGUUUCAUUAACAUAUAAAUUAUAUUAUAAUGUAUCAUGUAUAUUAUACUAAUUAUACUAAUUUCCAAAAUAAAUUUGAAUAUUUCAAAUUAGAACCAAUAUAAAUAAAUCACAUUAUCAUUUUGUAUCAUCCAUUACUUUGUAUUUAGUCAUACUAAUUGGAUCAACCUAAUACAUAAAACAAAUAUAGAAAAAUUAAAAAAAAAAAAGCAUGCACAAAUAGAGACAAAUAGACAUUGAUAGCUAUCUAUCUCUAUCUAUCUGAAACAAGCACACAUAAAUUGUUAUAUUUCUCUAUCGAUAGACAAAAAUAGCAGUCUAUUUAUAUCUACCUGAGAUACAAACAUUAAAAAAAAAAACCUUACCAAUAAAAUUCUUGACUUUAUUCUAAAUGCAACACGUUCUCAGCCCAAGAAGUCAAACAACUCUUCAUUGUAAAAGUAGCUUUACUUCUUUCAUCAAACCACUUUUGCAAUACAUCUCUAAUUGAACUAAGCAUGGUAGCUACAGGUAGUUCUCUAAGAUCUUUAAAAACUAAAUUUACACUGUCUACACAAUUUGAUGUCAUCAUUCUAUAUAUGAAACUCAUUAUACCUGAGAUAGAUUCAACCAAUUUAUCAAAGAACCUUGGAAUCAACAUGUAUGAUUUAACUGUGUCACCUUUUAAUAUCUUUACUAUGUGUUCUUUUGCCCUCCAAGCUUUCUGCUAACUUAUAUUAACUCCAAGAUUUGUACAUGCCUUAUGCACAAUUGCUUUCGGAAUGAAACGAUCAGUAGACAUGAACCUGAACUCAUCUAUCAAGCAACUGUCAAUUACUGUUGAAGAAGCUUGCAUAUGACAACUAGUAUUCAAUGAACGGUCAUGUUCAUAAUUCUACUUAUCCAUCCAAUUGAAUCUGUUCACAUAUUAAAUCAACUAGAGAAUUAAAGCUGACUCGGACAUCUACCAAAAUUUCAGCAACUAAGUAAUUCUCAUAAAUAUUACAUCCAUUCCAUUGACCUCCAUAAAAAACAACAAUAGGAAAAGACAUUAUAAUCUGUAAAAAAAAAAAAAAAUUAAGUAUUUAAUUGGGAUAGAAAGAAAUAGAUAGACAUAGAUAUACAUUUAUUACUGAAUAAAAGAAUAAAAUGUACAAAAUGAUAAUACUAAACACAAUGCAAGAAUAAGUAAACGAUCGUGCAAUGAAAUAAUAUACAUUAAACGAUCCUAUUAACCGUGAUAAACGACCAUUUAACAACGGUAAAUGAUAAUAUUGAUUAAAAUAAAUUAUCGUGUUGACAUGGGUACACGAUCAUAUGAUAUUGGUGAUCGUAUUGAAUAGUGUAAACAAUCGUCUUGUUAUCGGUACACGAUCGUGUUAAUAUUUGUAAGUGAUUCUAUUGAUAGUGGUAACUGAUCGUGUAAUUCCAUGUAAAUUAUCGUAAAAAACUUUAAACUAUCGAUCUUUAUAAUGAAGUACAUAAUUCUUACAUUAAUACUUAAAAUUUGUUGUAACGAUCCAACUUUUCUAACUAAGUUGAAGUCAUUAAUUUGGACAAAGAGACCUUGAUUGACACAAAUUAUAGUAAAAUUCACUUGAAAUCAUACGAUCAAAGAAAACAAACUUAAGUUCGGGCCCUAUUUCAAAUAACCAAAACUUUAAAAGUACUAUUUACAAAACAACAGUUCGUAAACUCAGUUCCAUCACAAAAUUUUUAAACAACCUCAUGUACAAAGGAAAAACAAGAAACAUAAAGCGAAAGCAUUUGAAGAACAUUCCCUUAUGGCAAUCACGUCUCCUUCUUGUCCCUCGUCGGUCUACCUCCUUUGUUACCUUUGCCUGAAAUAGUUAAACAUGAAAGGAUGAGUAUAAACAUACCCAAUAAGAGACCCGCUAUUGGUCCCAUUAGGGGAAAAAGAAACUGUUAACUUCCUAUUGGGGUACCCUGCACAGUCACAGUCUUGUGAUCCCGUAGGAUACACAUAAUCAGUCUAACACCUCAAAGGACGCAUAAAUCAGUCUACUGUUCUGCAGAAACACAUAUCAGUCUAAUGCUCUCGAAGGAUGCACAUAUCAGUCUAGUGCUAUCGAAGGAUGCACAUAUCAGGUGGUGAUCCCGUAGGACACCCGCAAGGUAACUACCCAAUAGAAAUCUAACAAUUUUCCCCUCAAUCCAUUCUAAACAUCUUAACACUCAUUCAUAGUACAGUCCAGCUACUUCAACAUAUAAUCCUUUCACUUAACACCCUAAUAGUCAACCUAUCUCACUUGAGCCCAAUGUCCGCCAGUAACAUAUCAAUACAUCAGUCAAUCAAACUAUAUAGUUAUAACACCCCUCAAUUCACCAGUACACAGCCCUACUUUAGUAUAACCUACACCCAAUCUAAACGACAAUCACAAGUUCACAUCCACAUUCCAUACAAACACAAUCUACAAUUGUCGUCCUGUCUACAUCCAUACAUAUAUAUAUUCCCAGACAAUCACAAUAUGCAUUCAACAUCAAGUCUACAUCAAUCCAUGUAUAUAUAUAUUUUUUUUCAGUCAUUCACAGUAUACAUUCAACACCAAGUCUACAUCCAUAUGUAUAUAUAUCGUUUUGACAUCUUUACUCAAUCAGAGGUAACUAUACAGACAGCACAAUUCAAAACUAUAGGUGAGUCCAGUAGUAGAGAAUCCCUUACCUUAUAACCUUACUUAAGCUUCUUUUUCAAACUAAAGUGCAACGAACCGACCUAAACAUAAUUGAAGAGAAAUCAAUCACUUCCACAAACAAUUUAAUCCAUUCAAUUCACUCUAUAUGUAAAUUCCAUAACUUACCCAAAUUGUGGAGAAUCAAAUUCUAACGGAGACGGAUCGGUGCACAAAUAACGAACAAUUCAGAUCUAAACAUACAUGGCGUGACAGAACUGGAGUGACUCGGGCUAACGGUUAUGCGACGAUAGGAAAAAAUUUGCUUGACGUUCGGUGUAGGUGGAAGACGGUGGUGAAGUUGAUUGGAGAAGGAAAAGAGAAGGAAGAAAAGAGAGAUUAUGCAUACACUGUGAGAAGCACACAAAAAAAUUGAAAAUAAAUUGAAAAGAAGAGAGAGAUAAGUCUGAGGGAGAAAUAUUCAUUUCCUUUUCAAAGUGAAUUGCAAAGAAAUUUUCUCAAAUUGAAAAGAAAGGAGAAAUAUACAAAGUCAGCCACCGCUUCUUCUCCCUUCAGUUUGCAGUUUUCGUCUCCCUCUCUUCUAUUAUUAAAAUAAAUAAAUAAAAUAUCACAACCCGACUUAACACAAACUAUUUACUCCAACUUUUUAAACUACAAAUUUAAUUUCUCAACUUUUAAACUAUUUUAAACUUACAAAUCUACUUUAUUCAUUUCUUCAGAUUUAUAUCUAACAAAUAAAAAAAAAUCAAAAUUUAUAGACACUUAAAACAUAAAAUUGAAAGACCUAUUAAACAAUUGAAAGGUUUAAGAGGUAACUAGACAAACUUUAAAAGUUCUAAGGGAAAGAAUCUUUUGUUUAACUAUUACAGUAAUUAAUUUUGAAAAUAUGUUAUUUUAAAAAAACUACAAGUGUUUGACAACUCUUUGAAAGCUAUUGAAAUACUCUCAAAUUGUAUUUUAAGCAAUUUUAAUAAAAAGAAAGUCUACAUAAAAAAAUUACCCUUUUUAAAGGAACAUUUUUUCUCUAAUCACUCCAAUGGAACUCAAACACGUACUUCAAGUUAAUUCUGGUAUCCAAGAAUCAGUCUCAUCCAACAUAAACAAGAACAUUCAACUUGAUAGAACUUCAUUACCUCAUUUUUACAAUUCCCAAAGUUACUAAAUGAAGGACCAUUCCUAAAACAUACUUACAUCCAACUUUCUCCAUGAAUAAACUUAUCGUCUUUUAUGUACUGAUGAAUAUAGAGAUGGAGCGAUCAGAGUUUGUUUAUGUACCAAAUUAGAGUGAGUUGAGAAAAGAGUGGAUUUACACAAGGACGAAAUGGCUGGCUGCUGCUUGUUCAAAACUGAAAGUUAGGGUGACCUUGUUUCUCAUAGGGACUCAGCAAAUUGAGGGGCCUCCAGGUCAACUUCUGGUCUCAUUAUACAUGCCAUUAGCCAUUCAACGUUGAAAGUCCAUAUCCCUUUUUGUACGGCCACCAAGGCUUCCUCCACGUCUUCCUCACAAGCCACAAAGAUCGUCUUCCAUACGUUGUUUACUUUAUCUAGCUCAUGAAUCACCUAAAUUUUCAAGCAUAAUGAAUUUGCCAAAUGAGAGAAAAAAUUAUGUAUAUACUACAAGGAAAUUGCAAGAAUUCACCCUAUCAAAAAAUAUUAAACAAAUUCUUGUUCUAGUCCCUAAAAUUUUCCAUCUUUUCCCAACUUUCAAAAUGAUUCCUAUGAGAUAUAUUCCAAUCACAUAUAGCAGAAAUGACCGAUGAGUAUUGGAUAAAUGAAUAUUAGUUGAUAAAAUAAUUUACAAAAUACUAAAAUCGUUAGUUGGCUACGUUUUGGAAGCUCGAUGAUUAAAAUGGAUGUUUUGAAAGUUCUAAGGCUAAAAUGGAAUUUAAAUCAACAUAAUAGUAAGUUCAAGAUCAAAGACAAGCUAAACAAUAAAAUGUUGCAAGCAGAAAACAAUCUAAUCAUAAUUAGAAACAUGAAUGUAUGUAUUUGUAAACCAAAUCACAAAAAAUAACUCCAAAUUUCGAUCUAGAGACAAUUAAAAACUUGAACAAAUUUGAUAAUUAAAGAAACACGGAGAUGGCCAUAUGACCCCUUGUGCAUAGACUUUUUACAUUACAUGCUCAAUUCCUAGGAUCAAAACAAACAUAAAUAUUAAAGACUUAAGAAGCACAUACACUCUAGUUUGGCUAGUGUAUCAAUAAACAAUAUGUAUGGAACACUCGGAGAACACGUGUUGAACACUAGUUAGUACAGUAGAUGUGUUAGACAACAAGUAUUCCAAUGCAAUAAAGGUCAAGAUUGGUCACACACACAUAUUAAACUCUUGGCUUUGAAUAAGUUUUGAGUGAAGGACAAGCUUAUUUUUAAGCAUAUAAAUACAUAAACUUAUUGACUUUGAAUUUCUAUAUAAAUAUGAUACAUACUUUUUAAAUUAUAUAUAUUAAAACUGUGUUCUAGCACUAUCCUAUAUUUUUUAGAAAAAAAUGACACGUCACCAUGUCUAUGAUUUAUUGACCCAUGUCUAGAAUUCGUAUACGUGCUUGUUUGUUGAGAACUUCACGUCUUCAUUAGAUGGGAGGAUAGCCAUAUUAUAGUGGUUGUAUAUGUAAUAUAGAGAACCAAACCUAGUACUCGAGAUUUGUACAAUAACAGAGAACUUACAUUUCCACCGGUUGACUUGACUAUCAGGGAUAGAGUUUUAGGUGGUGGUUGAGCGUGAGCUGAUAUGCAAACAUCAUACCCUUCAAAUAAAGCUCAAGAACAUGCUUUUGCCCUGAGAACUGCAGCUUUUAGGCUGGCUCGAUACUUCGAUAUGUAGUCAUCAUCAUUUAGUAUGUAAGGCAACUCGUCUGCAGAUCAAUAAGGAAUUAAUCAAUCACAAAAAUUAGGUAGGAUGAAAAACAUAAGUGGAAGAAAAUACAUUACGCUUUGAUACUAGCAAGCCAUUCGAACUUACCAACAAAUCUGCCUUCCCGUUAGGUUUCCUUUAACCAACUGGAGGAGAAAAUCCAAGCUCUGAGUAAUUUGCAAUUAAUUUUAGUAACAAUAUAGUGAGCAAGAGCACACUGACACACUUGAAGCCACAUGGUAAUGCAUAUGCUCGAUAAUCAUUGAGAACAUUAACAGGAGAAAAUAAAGUUAAGAACAGUAGCUUGAAGAACAAAAAACAUUCUACAACAUAAAAUCUUCAAAAACACAUUGCUUAAAAUCAAGUUUACUAAUAUAAAAGGUAAGAUAUUACGUUCCACUCUCCACACUACUGAAGUUCAACAUUUCACAUGAAAGAAAUGAAAUACUACUCUCAAAUAUAACUGAAAAAAGCAUAAAUGGGUAAAGAAAAAGCAUAGAGAAAUGCAAAAGAAUCCUUGGCUUUGAUAUAUUGAAAGGUAAAGAAUAUCAACCAUAGAUGCCCGGGAGAAGAACUCCUACAAAUACACACUUAACGCAGAUUAUCAUUCGCUAACAUGAGACCUUCUAGAGGAAUUCUGUUAGGAUACUUCCAAACAAGAACAAGAUCUUAAUUUAUUAUAAUGAACUAUAAGAAAAUACAAGAUAAAACCAAGUAUAAGGCACUUGGAACCUCCCUCUUGAGUACUCUCACCCAAGCCCUAGAUCACUCCCCAGAAUUCUCCCCUCACUUACCCUCCCUCCAUUUAUAAUAAGAUGUAACCACACUUACAUAAUAACUACUAGUAACUUUCUAAAUAUCUAAUUACCCCUUACUCCACAACCCUAACUAUAAUAAUCUAAGUAUCUAACAUUACCCGAUCCUUCAAAACACUUGUCCUCAAGGUGUGCUUACAAACAUGAUCAAGGCCCUUUCUCUUUUUUUCUCUUUUUAAUUGCAAACAAUCCCCAGCAUUCUGCUCUUCAAUGUUGAAAAAGAAAUCCUCCCCUUCGGCUUUGAAAAACUCUUGAUUCCAAUAAGGUCCAUUGACUUCAGCCCACAAAGCAGCCCAAUGUACUUGAAUUUUCCUUUUCCAAAACACAUUGUCUUAGUUAACCCUUUGCAUAUCACCAACAAGUGUUUAAUUUUCAAACUCUUCAUCUCUAGUGGGCUCGGCCAUAAUCAAAGUGUUGCGUCAAGACCAAAAUCAUAUUGCCGCCGGUUUCAUUCCUAGGACCCACCUACAUACACGUUUUUCUUCCCUCCUAUUUUUGGAACUCUCCACCCACUUCAUCUACAAAAUGAUGUGCCCCCAAUGUUUUAUUUAGAAUAAGUUGAAGCUCAUUUAGAGUAAGUUGAAGCCCACUUGAAAUAGUAAAACCCAAGAUUGUUACUUUUGUCCUAAUCCUCUUUCCUACCAAUUUCUACCACGUCAUUGUCACCAUCAUGUGUGCAGCAACUUCUUCCUCGUCACGUGAUUCACCCCUAUUCCAGACCACCUUCUCGAGCCUCUGUAGACCGGUAACUGUCGGCUUCUUCUUUCUCCAUUGCAACCAGCCAUUUUGUGUUUCUUUGAGCAACAAAUUUUUCUCCACUCGCUCUUCAUUUCGAGCCUCACAGGUAAUCCUCGUCGACCUUCCUCUAUAGUUUCUUCUUGGUCACUCUUUGCCAUCCUCUUCACCUUCCUGUAUAACCGUUGCAAUCGCUUUUCCUCGAUUCUUCUAUGGAUUUAGCAACUUCUUGGAAUCCAUCGAUUUAUGGACCUGAAGAUUCCAAUCCGUUCUAAAUAAACACAAUCCAGAUCAGUGCCACUGAACACAGGCAUUUCAACCUUCUUGAAUUUGCUAUGAUCGUUCGAGUUUUCAUCCCUUUUAAAGUUGUUUGUUUUACCUUCUACCUUGAUUUCCUUCAAUGUCUUACCUCCACCUUCGAUGAUACUCUCAAUCGUUGGUCCUUUGCUCGACGAUCCUUCCAUUCUUCCGGAGAUUUUCGAAUUAUCCUUCUGCUAUUCCUUCGAUGCAUUUAGCAACCGUUCUUGUUUUUCCAACUAGAUGACCAGUCUUUCGAUGCUUUCUGGCAAGGAUAACAAGUUUUAUUCAAUUGCCAGCAACUUGUGUAACUCCACUUGUAUCCCCGAGAUUUCCUUAUCAGAGGUCUCCAACUUCUCUUCGAUCCGUUUUUGUGCUGCUCUAUCGUUCUCCCAAGUUAAAACACUCUGAUACCAAUUUGUUAAGAUACUGUAAAUAUACGGCAAGUGUAUCUUACUUUAUUGAAUUACCUCAACGAAUUACAGUAUAGAGAAUAAAAAAUCACUCACAUCUACUUCCUAAAGGCACACUCCAGUGAGGAUCACAACAAAGAACAAGAAAAACUAAGAACAAACCGCAACCAUGAAAAUGACCAAAACAAACAAUAAAAAGAACUUGACUUGGACCCUCUACUUCUCCCGAGCACGAAAGACGGCAGCCUCUACUUCUUUGGAAUAUUUUGUCCCCUUUCUCCCUCCUCUUUCCUCCCUUUUAUUUUGCUUUACUAACAAACUAAUGGGAAAGAUCUCCUCCGAUAUUUUCUCCUCCUAUAAUCUCUCCUAUAUUUCGUGUGGGUCAAUAUUACCCUUUUUAAUUCUUCUACUGUAUUUAAAUAAUAUUGGAGACAUAUACUUCCUAACAAGAACAAGAUCUGAAUUUAUUAUAAUGUAACUAUAAGAAAAUACAAGAUAAAACCAAGUAUAAAGCACUUGGAACCCUCCCUCUUGAGUACUCUCACCCAAGCCUUAUAUCACUCCCCAAAAUUCUCCCAACUUACCCUCCCUCCAUUUAUAAUAACAUGUAACCACCCUAGUUACCACACUUACAUAAUAACUACUAGUAACCACACUUACACAAUAACUACUAGUAACUUCCUAAAUAUCUAAUUACCCUUAUACCCCAACCCUAUACUAAUCUAGGUAUCUAACAAAUUCCAUAACAUAAUGUAUUAGGGGAAGAAGGAAAUCGAGGAUAAAAACACUAGCUAGCCAACAAAUAUCUUUCAUUAGUGAGCUUGAGCCAUUUUACACGUAAAAUGGGAAAAGUAAGCCUGAAACCCAAAUUAGCCUAAUGGUUGUCUUAACAACCACUACCCACCAUCACGAUAGAAACAACUGAGAAGGAAGAGCAUGAUACAAUCCAACUCAAACAUAAGAAUUGAUUUUGAUGUUUAAUUAAAAGUAAACAGGCAGUAGAAUAAGAAACUAUGCCCUUUUAGAUCUAGAAGGUUCACAACAAUUUCCAGCCUAAGCACAACUACGAGGCAAUGGAAGAAUAACGACAAAGGCCUGUGUGCAUGGAAUCGCUAACUUUUGUGCAAAUGAGAUGAUUAUCGGUAUUCAAAGGCCAAAAGGAUACAUAGAAAGUGUUCGUCUAAGGUUGCAAGACUAACCCUGAAAAGAGAGCAAUACAAAAAUUUAGAGUUUUCCGCAAAUUUCCUGUAAUGACAUGAGUGCUUGUACUCCCAUCAGCAGUGAGAGAACCACCAAGCUCCUCAAUCAUCUGAAUCAGAAAACAACUGCACAUUAGAGCAGUCACAAUUUGGAAUAAAUAGAACUUUUUAUUGUUAGAAUCUUAGAAUAUUUAUGAAAAGUUUAUGGGAAUAUUUUUCUUAAUUCCUAAAUAUUUUCCUUUUUUAUUCCUCUGUAUAUUCUAUUUAUUCUCCCUUGUACCUAUUGUAUUUUUCAUCAAAAAAUAAUAAGAAGAAAAAUAUAGUGGUUUUUCUCCUGGUACACAGGUUUCCACAUAAAGUUCUGUGUUUAUUUGUCUCCCUUUCAAUAUGGUAUCUGAGCAGGUGGUCCAAGAAGGUCUUGUGUUCAAGCCUCGCAUUGUCGUUUCCUCCCCAAUUAAAAUCCAUUUCCAGUUGUUGGGCCUUUCAUAUAUUUCAAGCCCACAAGUGAGGAGAGUGUUGGUGAUAUAUAAUUGAAUUUUCUUUCUUUUUUUAAAAAAGGAUACGAGUCUCACUAUUAUUAAUAUAAAGAAAGAGACAAAGCUCAAUGUACAUGAGGAUUAUACAAAGAGCAAAAGGGGAGAGGGAAGAUCAACAGGCGCAUCCGGGCAUCUCAAACUAGGUUGACACCCCCUUAGUGCCCUCAAAACAUCCAAAAAGCGACAACACAAGAUCAAAACAAAAAGCCACAAAAACAAAGACAAACAAAAUGAUAAAAAGAAUCUUUCCAAAGCAAAAUCAUAAUCCAAGGCAGCAUGCUGAGAACAAAGAAGAAUAAGCCUUGAUUGGUUGAGCAAAAACUGUUUGAAGCAGAGGGUUGAUCCGAAAGUUCUGAUCAUCACAAUAUCCUACGUCGAAGAUCUUCUUUUGCAUUACAUUUUCUAAAAUUUCCAAUCCACUCUGUUAAAGGCCUUUUCAAGGUCUAAUUUAAUGAUCCAUCUUUUCUUUUUUCGGAUACUAUAGACCUCCACAGUUUCUUUUGCUAUUAAAAUAGGAUCCAAUAUUUGGCACUCUUCCAGAAAGCCACAUUGUAAUGGAGAAGUAUGUUAGGAUUCUAACAAUAAAACACAAAAUAUCCUAACCAAAUGGCUAAACAGAGGCAGCACUCUGUAAUUCUUUAUUUAUGUAAAAGCCAAAACACAUUCAACUGUAGUAGAUAUGAAAAAUAAAGGAUGAACAACAUAGAAAACUUACCCAGCUCCUUUAUACGGGGCUGGAUACCCUCAGGCUACAACAACCUUUACUCUCCUUGAAAUAACCAAAAAAGACCUAGCCUCCCCUACCCCAACAUUACAUAUUUAUACCUCUCUCUCUCAUCCCUCCUGCGGGCCCCACCUGCACGAUCCUCUCCCAUUAUUCUCUCAUCAUUGGUUGCUAAGGAAUUUCCCUUUCUACCGUUCCUUUUAUAGGUAUAGAUAAUAGGAGGUCUUACAAAGUAAUACCUGGCCUGACUUUCUUUAAUCUUUCUGCGAGAACCUUUCCAAACAACUUAUAAAUUAAUGUUGAAACAACUUAUAAGCCACACUGUAAUGACAUUCCUUCUCUUGACCGAACUUCAAUAAUCGACAACUUAUAUUUAUCCACAUAAUCAGCAAAACUCUUAAUCUGCCACUAGCUUCAAACAAAGACCCACCAAUUCCUUUUAAACUCCAUAGUGCCUUUAUAAUACAACUGGCAAUCUCUUCUCUUUUGGUCCCGGAAUCAAUGCUCUAUCUGGAUUAGCUUUCUUCAAAAGAUUUUUAAUAGCCAAUUGUUUCGAAUGGCCCAUGAAUCCUCUAGUGUUCCAUGAUAUAAUCUCCAUCUUUGCUACCUCUGCCUUAUAUCAAUUCAAUUUCACAUGCUGCCAAGAAAGGAACCAACUCUUGAGGGGGAAGGAUACUUGCUGACCUGCACAAAAUUUCUUUUUAUGGGGAGGAAAACAAUUUAAUAAAAUCUGGACCAAGAGAGUCAAUGUCCUCUUGUUUCUCUGUCUCUGAUUGAAUUAUUUCUUCCUCAACUGGUUCAAAUUCUGCACUACGUAAACUGGUGACUGAUUCAACUUCCAUGAAUUCAUCUUCUAGGUUCUCAACUUUUUUGAGACAAGAAGUAUCUUGCACAAAAUUAAAGAAUGAACCAAAAAGUUUGGAGGAGGAUUGAGAAAAUUUAUUACUUAAGGAGGAAGGCAGUACUGACCUUUUGCCAACUGAAUUUGGAAUUUGUAUCUUCACACAACUUUCCUCUAAUAAAUCAGAAUUAGCCAAGCUCAUCCAAAUGUUGCGAAAAGAAGUUCUCCCUUUGGUAUAGGUCUUGAGGUGCUCAUAAAUUUUUUGGCAUGUAUUGGAAUAGCUUUCAUUGCAAGGAUAUUUUAGUCUUGGGAGAGGCUGGUAAUUUUGGUUGAGAACUGAAAACAGGAGAUGGCCAGCAAGUGAAGUUCCUUGAUGGAGGAGAGGACUCUGAUUCUUCCUCCAAUUCGUCAGAAUACCAAAAGCCAUUGGUAUUCUGAUUAAUAAAAUUCUUGGGGCCUACCAUCUGUGUGUCAGAUUUUAAAAUGUCUGCAGAUACAUUAAGUUUGAAAAAAUCUGGUUGGGGAGGGCUAGGUGAGCUAUUUUUUGAGAUAAUAAAAUAUCGGCUGGCUGCCUUUUCUACUUUCAAGGUCUGUUUUUCUCUCUUUUCUGUUGAAGUCUUUUCCCCAAAUUUGAAUUUUGCCUUCUGAAAAUUAUUUUUUCCGACGAGGAUUCAAGGUCUGAAACUCUUUCCGGUCGAACAAGGUUUUCUUCUUCAUCAUCCAACUUUUUAAGUGCUUCGAAAGGAUUUCUUGAGAUGGAUGGGGCAUUCUGUUUGAGAAAUUCAGGUAUCUGGGAGACCAUCACUUUGGAGCCCUUCAUCUAAAAUCACUGAAUUUAUUCUACAUAAAUCAAUAGGAUUGGAAAAAUCACUUUGAAAUAGAUCAGAUUGAUUAUUACAGGAGCUUCUAAGGGUUCAAAAUCCCCAAAAUUAAGGGAAAAUUUUCCUCAGUUCUCACUCUUUAAUUCUAUAGUUGCUGGUAAAAAUCCGCAAAGAUUUUUCCAAACUUUAAUUCUUGCUUCAGAGAACUUGAUCAGAUUGAGUGUUUCUAAGAUUAUACUUUCUAGUCCACCAAAGUAGCUUAAGCUUAAGGCUAUAAUUGAAUUUUCUUUCAACCACCAGCUUAAACUUUUUGGUGAAUCGUGGUUUAAUAUUUAUAUUAAUAUUUUAUAAAAAAGUAUACAGCUAAUGCCAUAUAAAAUAAAUAAAGAAAUACUAUAAAAUCUACAUCCAUAAAAUAUGCAUGUGAACACAUAUCAGAAGAUGGAUAUUCGUAAGUUAGAAAGACCGAUAACAAAAUGUCAUAAUUAAACAACAUCAUUAAUAUUAUGGGUAGUUUCAUGCUUCAUUUGUCUAUUCUAGGUAGGGAUAUUGAAUAACUCUUAAAAAUAAUAUAAAGAUUGAAUCCCUAAACUUCAUGUGCUUGCUAGUAUACAACCUAAAAGUUCAACAGUUAAAGAAACUGAUUAAUCAUUUUUGGCAGGAUGUCAGAUUCGCCUUUCGAAAUCCUACAUGAGUAGAGCCAGCCAAAUAAGCCAAGCCUCUUAAGGAAUAUGGAGAAGUUCAAUGACUGGGUAUGUAUAUGAUAAGCCUUAACCUCAAUUUUAUUUGUCAAUAAUGGAGGGAAGGAAUCAAAAGCUUCUCUAGCUCUCCCAAUUAUUCUAAGAAACCUAAUACAAGGUAUGUCAAAACAUACCCUCCCCAAACAAUCAUAAUAGCAUUUAUAUGAAAGCAUAAAAGACUCAUGGCCCCCUUAACUAGCAACAUUCAGACCAACAAAUACAGCUUCCCAUCCUCCUCUCCUGAAUCCUUUCUUGUGCCUACGGGUGUACACCUUCACUACCAUGGGCCUAUCAGUAUUUAGAGAUCGUAGAGGCUGUAUGAGCCAAGGAGCUGGAAGAGUAGGAUUAGGGAAGUGUGGAGUUUUCCGCUCUUUGUUUGGCCAAAAGUGUUUGUGGACUCCCGACAAGAAAAUUUCAAUUUUAUGCCUUAUUGACUUCGUAUGUCCUAGGCCCUAAGAGUUCAAAACUUUCUAGAUUUCACAACUUCUUGGACCACUCCUUGUGCCAAACACCCUUUAAAGAAUACUAAGCCAAGGAUAUAAAACUUCAAUACCAUCAAUAGAAAAUCUCAUAAAAGAAACAUGAAUGAUGAAUAUUUUAGAAGACUAUAAAUUGGUACCGUACCUUCAUGAGCUGAGUUUUCUUAGUUUCGUCUGCAAUGUUCAUCAGCAUAAUUUUAAAUGAUUUUCCUAAUGUGUUCUCUUCAGAAUUGAGGUCCUCUGAUGCCACAUUUACACUUCCAAAUUCUUGACAGAAUUUUGUGUACACUGAUUGGUUGGAUUUUUAGGAUAAAUACUUGAUAAAAUCUCAUGCUUUGAAUUGGCUAAAGAGCAUCCUGGAGAGCAGGUAUCGUAUACAUCACUUUUAGGAUCAAGAUUUUUGUUAGAGUGGGAAUGGAAAUGGUCCAGAUUGACUCCUUUUACUUUCUUUGACUUCAGGGAAGAAAGUGAUGCUUCCCAAACUCUCUUUGCGCUAUGUUUAGAGCAAGAACAAUGUGUCUCAUCCAAGUUACCAAGAGUAUUGGAUAAUUUUUCAAUACUAGUUGUCGUGUUGUUCUCUAUUUCUGCAAAAGAAACCAAACCGUUAUGAGAUAAUUAAGCAACAUAUGGAGAAUAAUUUAAAUUGUACUAUCUUGUGGAACAAAACCUGAAUUACACAUACCCUGAAUUUCAUUUUCUUCUCCAAGGGGCACUAAAGUUACAAACUCGUCAUGUUGAAAAUUCAAAUUUUGAAUGGUAUGCUGAUCAGUUGCAUUUGAAACGUUGCAACCUCGAUUGGCAACACUGAUUCUUGCAGCAUACGGGGCUUCAGCUUUAAUAGAGAAAGUAACUUUGGAAAGUUAGUCGAACACAUUGAAAUUCCCUGAAUGUGCGAAAUCCAUGGAUUUUAUUACACAUCCCAAAGGUGAACGACUUUGAGGCAUCUUGGUUAUAAUCAAUUGGUUCUCGAAGUACGCCACCUUCAUCCCCACUACAAAACUAUGUUCUGUCGAGCUGAUAGCACACUUGUUCUUUAAGAACGUCUUGAAGUUAUGGAGAGUUCCAUCACGCAUUGUGAGUGACAGGGAUGGUAGAUUCAUUGGUACUCUCUAGACCAAACUAUUCGCCUUCUUGGGAACACGCCUAAAUAUAUCCUUAAGCUGCCAUCCUCAGACGAAUGGCCAAACUGAAGGAUUCAAUUGUAUGCUUAAGGAAUAUCUACGACAUUUUGUUGAUUCUGGACUAAAGAAUUGGGCCUAGUUGAUGGAUGUGGCUCAAUUUUGUUUUAAUGCACAAACUAGUCUAUCCAUAAGAACGAGUCCUUUCAAAAUCUUGAGUGGAAGACAACCUAUACUGCCUCAUAUUGUUGAUCAUCCUUAUGCCGGAAAAAAUCCUCAAGCUCAUAACUUUACGAAAAAGUGGGAGAAGACUACGAACAUCGCUCGAGCAUACUAAGAGAAAGUCUCGAAGCGUAUGAUAAGAAGCAUCAUCCUCUCAAGUUUUGAGCGGAAGACCAACUCUUCAUAGAGUUUAAAGCAAAGCAAAUUUGAUUUAGAGGACAUCAACAUCAGCAUCUCACCAGAAAAUACAAAGGGCCUGUUGAAGUUCUGAAGAAAAUUGGAAAUGCAUCCUAUAGGGUAUCGUUGCCUGCAUGGAUAAAAAAUAUCUAGUAGCUCAUGUGAGCAACUUGAAACCUUACCAUCAAGAUCCAGAUGACCAGUAGUGCAACAAUGGUGUAUGGUCAUCUAGUGACCUAAAGCAGAAAGACGAUAAAGAAAUGGAAGAAAUCCUUCCUAAGAGAGUGAGGAAGGGUAUACCCAUGAAGAAGAUACAUGAAUUCCUACUGAAGGAAAGAACCUCCAUGUGGAAGAAACACGUUAGGAAUGUGCUGAAGACCUUGGAGCGUGAAAGAAGAAGAUCGAGGAAUACUAGCUUCGCCAGUCGACAGGGACGUCAAUUGUUUAAGUGGGGGAGAAUGUAACAAGCAUGCUUGUCCAAGGCGCUGUUUACUUAUGGCCGCAUGCCCAAACACCCCAAUUUACAUUGUUUUUAUGUUUUGUAUUUAGUUUUACUUUUUGCUUUCCUUUUUAUGUCAUAAACCUUGGGUGUGACUUGGCUUUUUCUUAUGCAAGCCUACCAGAACUAAAAAAGUCUAAAAUGUACUAUAGAUGGGACAUAGUAGUUGAAUUCCUGCCCAAGCCUUGUUGCACUCUUCGCAAUCAAAGUUUUUCUUUGCAAUUGACAGUCUUCAAUGCUUGCUUUAACGAUAUUUUCAUUGAAUUUCUUUCUCCUCACGUUUUAUAAAACAUUUUCUUAAGAACGUGAAGAGAGGCUACAUCGUAUCAUGUGUUUGUCCGUGGUUUCUGGAUUUUGAUCAGCUAACUUGUUGUCUACGUAAAACAAGUGCAACAUAAUCGCUCCUCUCGUGUUUGAAAGCUCGCGAUUGUGACACAAGAAAUGCACUAGCCAAGAAUGCACACGAGGAGGGCUACACGAAAUGCCAAGCACGCAACCAUGUGAGGUUCACAAUGUGCUUGUGUGUGAGGUUAGCACGCGGGCAUGCCCAACACGCAUGAAAAGCCUCUUGUGAGAUUCACACACAGUAGUCAGCGCCCAACCAAGGCCCUACUACCCACCCAUUCGUGCCAGGCAGUGUCAUAUUGCAUGUUGAGCUAUUUUUGGUAAUUUUUUGUGUUUUUUAAGUAUACUUUUGAUAUUUUAUUGGCAAAAGAUAAUUAAUUGUACUAUUUUACCAUUAUUUCAGGACAUGAGAAGAUCAUACAAAUUUAUAAACAAGGAUUUGAGCUUGUAUCUAUGAGUGGAAAAUGUUUUAUUUAAAGUGAUUUCAAGCAUGUUCUUAAGUCAUGAUUUAUGACGGAUUUAUGAUAAAAUGUUUAAGUUAUGUUAUGAAAAGUCUUUCAAGGGUGUUAUUGUUUAAAGGUUUAUUCAAGCAUAUUAUUUACUCUUCAAAAUGCAUAAUAUUCAAAAUGUUUUCCCACUUUCUAGGUAGAGAUCGUGUCCUCUAAGCCUAACUUGCUACUACCUGUCUACUAAAGGAUUUCAUUUUGUUAUCAUAUGUGUCCUGUUAUUUUGUACUAAUGAUAAAUUAGUCUUUUGUGCUAUCAGACUUAGGCUUUUGGGAAGGUUUAAUAAGGUUUUGUUCUAGAUAAAUAAGAUUACGUUUUUUCUAUGUAAAACUUGUCUAAGGUUGUUAAAUGAAAAAGGUUUAGCCCAAUUGGUUUUAGUAAAAUUAUGUGUUAUGUUUCCGCUGUUGUUUAGAGUUUAAAGGUUCAGGCUAAUGGUUAAAUGGUGUCGUUCUUGACGUGGGUGCUAUCGAUUGGCUUCACGCCAUAUCUCGAGCCACGCAAGUAGGUUCUCGUGGUGGGGUGUAUAGCCUAAGUUGGCUUAUUAACGGUUAAAAUGUAAACAUGUCCAUAACAAAAUAGUCGGGCGAGGCCCAUGUGGACCGACUGGUAAAGGUUGAAGAGCAAAUGCUCUACCUAAUGAAAGUUCCUAACUCAAUUCUCUUCUUGGAAACCCGCCUUGAAGAAAUUUUUUAGAAAGCUGAUGCUAUAAUAAUUAAACCACCACCCAAAAUCUUAAGCUAGUGAUUAAAAUAAAUUUAAUUAUAUAUCACUAACAAUCCCCCACUUAUGGUUAAAAUAUCUAUAAAGGUCCAACAAGUGAAAAUCAAUUUUAAUUGGGAAGGAAACACCAAUACAAGGUUGUAACGACCCAACUUUUCCAAAUAAGUCGAAGUCAUAUUUCAAAUAAAGACCUGAGUUUUCGCAAAUCUCAAUCUCAAAUAAUUUCAAAGUCUCAAAGAAAACAAAAAUUUAUAUUUGGGCCCUGUUUAAAAUAGCCAACACUUUCAAGAAAAGUUUACUAAUUCGUGAAUACAGUUCAACUAUAAAAUUUUCUAAACAAUCUAAAGUACUAAAACAAAACAUGAGAAACAAAAAUUAAGUGGAAAUUAAAAAAUAUCCCCUAUGGCAAUCACGCUUCCUUCCUGCCCCUCGCCGGUUUGUCGCCUUUAUUACCUUUGCCUGAAAAAAUUAAACAUAAGGAGGGUGAGUAUAAAAUACCCAGUAAGAAACCCUCUACUGGUCCCAUCAGGGGAAAAUAAAUUGUUAACAUUCUAUUGGGACACCCUGUACAGUCGCAGGGCAAUGGUUCACGGCAAGGCAAAAAUGAGCCCAAUGGUUCACGGCAAGGCAAAAUGACAAUCAAGAACGAAUCAAACGGCUGUAAAUAGAGCAACACUGAAUGUGAAUCAACCGGAAAAGAAAAUCGGCUUCAAAUCGUAACUCCGUCUUCCAACGAGCAGAAAACGACGACUUGAUAGGGACACGCAAUUUAGGAAGAGAUCGGAUACCGGUGGGGACACGGCGUUGCAGAUCUGACAACGGCGCGGAGACAAAGUUGCGCGGUGCUGGCAGAGGUCACAGACUGGACUGGGCGGAGGGUCACGCGGUGCUGGGCAGAGGGUCACACGACGCUGGGCAGAAAACAGAGGAGAAAGGAGAGGGGAGACAGCCGGCGGUUACAGGUUCACGCGACGGCCUUGGCUUCGACGGACGGAAGGGAAGAGAGG
rnacentral:lncRNA from 1 species